UAUUUUACAUCAUUUAUAAAUAAUGUAAAUAAUGUUCUAUUCCACCAAAAUAUUAUACAAAACUAACUCUAUCUCAACUCCUAAAAUAUAGAUACUAAACCUUAUCUAAGUCCCACUCUAACCCCUAAAUACUAAACCCUAAUCAGUAAACCCUAAACCCAAAUAUAAACUAUAAAACCAAAUAUAAACCCUAAACCAAAACAGAAUGAAACAAAAUAAACAGCAUAGUAUAUAUUGGUGAAUUAUGAAAUGUCUAUGACUGCAUGGAAGAAGUUAAAGCUGACCCUAACCAUACCCCCUCUCAUUCUAAAUUGUGAACCCUAAACCCUAACUAAACCUCAAACCCAAAUAUAAAUCCUAAACUCAAAUAUCAAAAUCUAAAAAAUACAUAAUACAUAAUAUUAUAUAAUACUAAAUUAUAUUAUGUAAUAUUAAAUUAUACAAUGUAGAUCAUAGUACGAUUUUUACAUGUUCAAAAAUAUGUAACGAUAAUGAAAACUUAAAAAAUUACAAGCAAUAUUUCUAAAUAAAAAGAACUCUCUUUAGUAAUCGUCAAAUGGAAUGGAACAUGAUAAAAUAGUAUAGUAACAUAAUAUAUUUCAUUACAUUAUAUGAAUAGAAAAAACAUAAUACAUAUUGUUUUGCAUAUAUAUUAUAUAUGCAUAUAAUAGAAUAGACCAUAAUAAACAAAAAUUAUUCAUCUUCUCCGAUCAAAUUUGGGUCAUUCACAGUGAAAAAAGAUAAGUGUAUUUGACGAUAUCAGUGGAGAUAGUACAUGUAACCACAUUGGAGAGAAGAAUUUUGUUGUUGAUACAGCAGUAGAUGGAAGAGAAGAACAUACGGUCGUAGAAAUUAGGAGAAGAAGGGAAACCGUGGCAGAAAUGAAAACGGUGGUGACGAUGAAGUAAUCGAUCAUGGUGAUGGCGCCGAUUGUAUAGAUGGAGGUGAUCGCAACUACAAGAUUCUCAUCGCUCGCCACAUGAGUCUUUAAAGCUCUAUUAUUCAUCACAACCCUUCACCAUCAACAUAGACAAUUUCAUCAACAAUCCCACAAAUUUGAGAAGAAACUGAUUCAUCUUCCCCAAAUUAUAAAAUUAGUUGCAGAGGGUGAGUGAAUAUUUAAGGGCCACAAAUUAAUUUUGCAAGUAAUAAUCAUUAAUGUAGAUUAUUAUUAUUUUGGAGGUUGUUCCAGUUGCGUACAAGGGCAAAUGGACAUUAUUACAUAAAAGACACGGAGUAUAUCGGUAUAAUAGGAAAAUUGGUUAGCGGGUGAAUUAUAAUUCUUUUAGAAGUCAUACGGUGCAAUUUCCAUAAAUAUUACAUCCUAUUAAAUUAAGCUUUUCCACGUCUCAGAUUCUUAAUUGAAUUGAAAGGUUCCCUAUCAAACUGGUCUUAACCAACAUAAUUCAAAUCCAUGAGGUAUACUGGCAACUUGAUAGCCAAAACAUACCAUGAAUAUAUAUAAUUCACACAUCCACGUUAAUUUGGGGAAAUAUGGGACAAUUUUAAAUUUUUGGACAAAAUUGGAAACAAUCAAUACAUUGGGGAAAAUUAAGGAAAGUGGGAAAAUGGAGGCAAAAUAUGUUUUUUUUUGUUUGGUCAUUAACAUGGUCUUUCUCCUACCUUCCGUUAAAGAUCGAGUGCAAAAUGUAAUUUUGUGAUUUUAGUGAGAAAAAUUAUUUAUGUUUGACCAAAAAUGUGAUUUCAUGACUUUUGCAGGAAAAAAUAAUUUUCGGGUAUGUGGGGGGGGGGGGGGGNNNNNNNNNNNNNNNNNNNNNNNNNNNNNNNNNNNNNNNNNNNNNNNNNNNNNNNNGGGUGGGGGGGGGGGGGGGUUGAAGUAAUUUUGUAGUUUUAGUGGGAAAAACGAUUUUGUGAAUUUGACGAGGAGAGUGAUAUUGUGGGUUCUUAGCAGGAGAAAUAUAAUUAUACAAUUUUGGUGGAAAACUGAUUUUAUGGUUUUGGUGAGAAAAAUUUGAUUAUAUAGGUUUGACGAGAAAAUGUAAUUAUGCGGUUUUGGUAGGAAAGUGUGAUUUUGAAUUGCAAAAACAUUUGAUUCCAACUUUUUGGUAGAAAAAAUGAUUUUGUGGUUUUGGCGGGAAAAUAAGAUUCAGUGGUUUUGGCAAGAAACAAUUACUUUGCGGUUUGGUGGGAAAAACUAUUUUUUCGGUCUUGGCAAAAAACACUAUUUUGACUGAAAAUGUAAUUUUCAAUUUUAGCAAGAAAAUAUGAUUCUGUAAUUUUGGCGAGAAAAUAUGAUUUUGGGUUUUGGCACAAAAUAUGGUUUUGCGGUUUUCAGCGAAAAAAUGAUUUUUCAAAUUUUGGCGGAAAAUUUGCGGGUUUUGCCAGAAAUGUGAUUCCGUAAUUUUGUUGGGAAAAAAUGAGUUUGGGCUUUUGGUCUUUAAAUGUAGCUCCAUGAUUUUUGCACUAAAUGUGAUUUACCAGCUUGGUGAAAAAAUGAUUUUACGCUUUCGUAGGAAAAAAAUGAUUUUGUGAUUUUUCGUUAUUACAGGAAAAUCCUCACAAACACACUCACUAGAUUAAGUUACACGAUAACUAUUCAAUACAGUUCUAGAGAUACGAUAUGGAAAUAAAAGAAACAACUUUUAGCUCUAGGAAGAAGGAGACACCUGAUUCAGCCAUUGAAAUGAAUCAGAGAUAUGAGAAGCAAAAGAGACAGAUCUGGGAUACGCCUUAGGGAUGACAAUUGGUUUUAAGAAUCUAGGUACUCGACGAGAAUUCUUAAGGAAUUUCAUAGCUAGUGAUUUACAGAUUUAUAAAGUCAAUAGCCUAGAAAAAGAAAACAGAACAAUAUUUCAGUAAGAAAAAGAUAAGUAGAUGAUAAGAUCAAAAAGAAAUAGAUCCUACCAGUUAUACUUUUGUUAUGUUUCUUUAGUAAAAAAUGAGAUAAGUUAAAGAAUGUGUUUUAGAAGUUGAAAGUGUCGUAUAGUGUUAUUAAGCUUGAUAAAGUCAUUUCAAAUGUAAAUCAGUCAGAUUAAAUGAGCCAUAUAUCAUGUAUCCAAACAUUUGUAUUGUUUUCCAUUCUUUGAUCAUUUGAAAACCCUACUUCAACCCUGCAAGAUUGGAGAACAAUGCCAAAACAAGAAUGGUUUCUUCAGUUUCUAUUUGAUCUCCUUUUGUGCCAAAGUUAUUUAAGCUUUGAUCUCGUAAUCCAAUGAUGUUUUCAACGGAAGCAUCUUUUGAUCCAUUAUCCUUUAAUAAUGUCAUGCAAAACCUAAAAAUAACGUUUCCUGUCGCAAAAUCACUAUUUCAAAAAAUCACAAUUUCACGUGAAAACCGUCAAAUCACAUUUUUCCCCAAAAUCUCGAUUUUUUUUUGGUUAUGGCACAAAAACUAAAUGUCACGGUUUUGAUGGAAACACACAAUAUUAUGGUUCUAAUGGUAAUUUUUCGAUUUUUACGAGGAAAUGUGAUUUUAUGAUUUUGGCACAAAAACAUGAUUUUGUGGUUUUGGCAAAAAAAUGUAAUUUUGCGGUUUUGAAGAAAAAUUUUCAAUUUAUGGGUUUGAUGGAAAUUUUGAUUUUCGUUUGCAAAACAAACAUUUCGAGGAUUUGACGAGAGAACACGAUUUUGCGAUUUUGGCAAAAAAAAAUGUAAUUAUGUUGUUUUGGCAGAAAAUAUGAUUUAUCGUUUUUGAGGGAAAACAUAAUAUUGUCGUUUGGACAGAAAUUAUAAUUUGGCAAUUUCUAUUGGAAAAUGUGAGGGUUUGACAUGAACUCAUGAUUUUUCCAUUUUGGCGAGAAAAGAUGAUUUUGUGGUUUUAACAAAAAACAUAAUUUUGUGGUUUUGACAAAAAAUGUGAUUUUGCGGUUUUGACCAAAAGAAGGUGAUUUUACGGUUUUAACAGAAAUUUUUAGUUUUCGUUUUAAUAGAAAACAUGAUUAUCCAAUUUUAGCAGGAAAACAUAUGUGGUUUGAAGGAAUAUCAUGAUUUUGCAAUUUUUUGGGAAAUUGUGAAUUUGGUUUUGGCAGAAAAUGUGAUUUAGUGGUUUCGAUGGAAGAACUUGAUUUAGCGAUUUUGAUGGAAGAAUUUUAUUUAGCUAUUUCUAUAUGGAAAAGCAAUGUUAUGGUUUUAGUGGGAAAACCAAAUGUUGCGGUGUAAGUUGGAAAAUUUGAUUCUUUUUAUUUGGCGAAAAAAAAUUUUGUGGUUUUGGCUUAAAACAUGAUUUUGCGUUUUUUUUUUGUCAUCAAACAUAAAGACUCAUACUGACUCUGUGAACCAAACUGGUAGCUCUGCAUCCAUGUGAACAACGAAAGACGAUUAUUUUCUGGCACCCUGUGCUAGACUAUCCACCUUUUGAUUCUCCGUUCGGGGUACAUGAAUGAUCUCUGAGCUGAGGAAACAUGUCUUCAACAUCUUUAUAUCAUCCAGAUAACUUUCAGACGCCGACCACUCUUCUGGUUCUGAAACCAUCUUCACCAAUUGAGAACAAUCUGUAGCAAAUGUAACCUGAUAUUGAUGUAAAUUCCUCAUACACUCUAUCGCCCAUAUUAACGCUUCCAUCUCCGAAUGGAGGGGUGAAAGACUUUUCCGAAUAUUCCUUGCACCCAGCAAACCAUCGAAUCCCUCAAGAAAUACUAUACCAACCCUGACCUGAAUAAUGCUCUUUAUCUUUCCACGAACCAUCUAUAAAGCACCAGCGACCUGCCCUCUUUGGAUAGUGCCUAACCUCAACUUGUUAUGAUGCCUGCUGAAUAUUCUUCACCUGAGCCUCAGCCCAAAGUUUUGAUUCGGUCUCCAUAAGAUUAAGUGUAUCUCGUGGGUCCAUAUCCAAAUUACUAAAAACUUUAUUAUUCCUACAUUUCCAAAUGUACCAUAAUAUCCAUGCAAAAUGAUGAUCUUCCAUCUCCGGGAUAACCCUCCAGAAAAGAUGAUCCAAAUUUGUGAAGAGAGAACUAGUAGGGAAAAGAUCUAGGUUUGACAGUAUCUUUGACAACGCCCAAACUUGACGCGCAGGAGGACAUUCAAAAAAUACAUGAUUUAUUGAUUCAUCAUCAGCUCCACAUCAAGCACAACAUAUAUCUCCUUGUAUUCCUCUAGCUUGCAAAUUCUUUUUCACAGCCAUACACGCUGAUACCAUUUGCCAUAGAAAAUGAUUUAUUUUCGGAGGGCAUCUCACCUUCCAACAAAACGUUUUUAAAAUAUCCACCGUAGGACCAUAGACUUCUGGUGGUUUUUCCUUAUCCGGAUAGACCCAUUCUAGCUGGUAUCCUGAUUUAACCGAGUAUUUCCCAUUAGUUGUGAAAUGCCAUCCAUCCCUAUCCACCAUUUGGUUUCUACUCAGAAGUAUACUUUCAAUUAUUUUAGCAUCCUGGGGGUCCACCAGAGCCCGAAUUGUUUGUGUAUUCCAACUCGUGAAACUGGAUCAAUGAAAACGUAAUUUUGGUGAAACGUAAUAUUCAUAAUCCAUUAAUUUUGCAGUUUUGACGAGAAAACUUAAUUUUGUGUUUUUGAUGAGAAAACGUAAUUUUGCAGUUUUGAUUAGAAAACUUAAUUUUUCAGUGUUAACAGAAAAUGAUGUUUUGUGAUUUGACGUAAAAACUUGAAUUGCGGUUUUGAUGGAAAAACCAAUUUGGUUGUUUUAGUGGGAAAAUCCGAUUUAGCAGAUUUAACGAGAAAACCUAAUUUUGCAUUUUUUGUGAUUUUGGCGAGAAAAAAUUGUGAUUAAUGAGAGAUUUUGUAAUUUGAUUACAUAUUUGUUAGAUUUUAAUAUUGUAGGUUGAGUUGGUCACUAACUCACUAUAGUUAAGAGGAAAGUAAACUUGUGUUAAUUGUGGAAAAUGUUCUAAGAUAUAAGUAGUACGUAUAAAAGUGAUCUAGAGUGAAAAUCUUUUUUUACUAGUAUUAUAUAAAUAAUAAAAGAAAAUAAUAACUAUAUCAUUUACUAUUAUUCUUUAACGUUUGCUUUUGUAGAUUAUCUAAAAAUAAUAUUCAUAAUCCACUAACUAAAUGAAGUAACUGUCUCAGUACCUCGUCACAUUAAAUACAUCACCAAGUUAGUUUAAAAAAUAUGUUUUGCUUGAUCUCUUCAAAGGUAGGUAUGCAGCCUAUUAUAUAGGACAGCUCAAAGUACAUUUAUGAUACCUAACGAUCGGUUCUUAGAAUAUCCCUUUAUUAUUAAAGGAGGAGCAUUAUUAGAGACUAACCUUAAGCUCAUGUGUUAAUAACAAGAAUGUCAUUUUCUAGGUGGCAACACCAUAUUCACUCUCACCCUCUCUAAUUAAUUAUCCUCUCUUUACUAGACUUAUUACAUUUUUUGCCAUUAUUCAUUAAUUGUAACUUAACAUAAUGUUAUAUUCACAUUUACAUAACAUGUUUGUUAGUGUGUAUGCAAUGUGAUCUCUAACUUUGUUUACACUCAAUUUGUUUUAUUGGUCCAAACAAAACCAAUGCAUCAUGGUUUAGUUGCAUUACAAACCACGAUUUUGUUUAAUCGACGUGAUUUUAUUUAUAUUUUUUAAAAUGAUAUUUUAUAAGCACAAAAUUUAUUCGACAAUUUUAAUAAUAAAAAAAAAAUCAUUUCUACUGAAGAACAAUUUACAAAAGUUAGCCAAUGGAACAAAAAUGGUUUUCUUUAGAAAUGAAAAAUGUGUUUUCUAUGAAAUUUGAAUCAUAAAUUCUACUUUUACUUUAAUAUUAAAAAACUAUAUCUGUUAAGAAGAUUUUUUUAAACUUAUUAUAUAAUGUUUAGAAGCGAAAAUAUGUUUUCUAUGAUAUCAGAAUCACACAUAUGGUUUUUUACUUUAAUAUUGAAAAAACCAUAUAUGUUAAGAAGAUUUUACUUAAACCACAUCUUUAGACGCGAAAAUGUGUUUUCUAUGAUAUUUGAAUCACAAAAUCUAUUUUUUAAUUUAAUAUUGAAAAAACCAUAUAUGUUAAGAGAAUUUUAUUCAAAUUAAUAUAUUUUGCUCAGAAGAUUUUAUUUAAACUUAAUAUAUAAUAUUUACACCGUUAAAUAUGAAAUACUGAAGAAUACAUCUUCAAAAGUUAUAAAGAGGAGAACCCCGUAUAUAAUAUGUAUGAAUCAGAGCAAAUUUUAAAGUUCAUAUAGUUCAUAUAGUUCUCAUGGUCCAAGAUUUGUUUUAUGCAGGUAAUUUUAAGCUGUCCACUGUACAUUGGGUGUUUAAAUUACGCUAGAUACAUUUUUCCUAAAAUGGUAUAAAAUACAAUGCACUUCAUAAUAAUGUCAUUUCCUCUUGAACCCUAUCAAGAAUGCCUUCCAAGCGCUCUGCAAUUAUAGCAUUUAUUCCCGCUCUCUGAACAUUUCAAAAAUAGAUUAUACAUUGUCAAUUAGCAUUAUUUGUGUGCAAAUGAGUGAUCUUCAUUUUUUUUUGAAACACAAGGAAUGAUCUUCAUAAUAUUCAAAAUUAGGAAUGAUGACACAUAUUCCUGUUUUAAACGUACUCAUUAAUGUAAUUGAUUUUGGUAAUAGAAAAUUACUGUCGAAUUAGAAAUGUUUUGAGCUAAAUAUAACACUAAUUCCUAUUUUAAACGUACUCAUUAAUAUUAUACGAUUUUUAAUGGAAAAUUACAGUCAAACCCGAAUCAUACAUUCAUUUAUUCAUCGACAUUGAUUGAGUUUUAAUUUAUUUGCGUUGACCAAUAUAUGUAAUUGUUUUUAUUAUAGACUAAUAGUCCAUCGAAUCCGACGUGAAUUUGAAUUACGAACAUACUUAUGGCAUUCAUGGCAGACCUUCUCAAUACAUCCUCACCAUAUUAUUUUCUUAUAUUUUGUUUCUUUCAUAUAUUAUUACUCUAUUACUUAUCCUAUGUUUUAUUUUAUAUUUAUAAUUUAUUUAUGAAAACAAUAAUUAUAUUGCCACUAUCGCCAAUGUUUUGUUUAACUUUACUUCAUAAUUUAUUUUAUAUAAGCUUUUUUUACUCCUAGAAAUUCACUUCUAGGACAUAUACUUCAAAGUAACAAAACAAAUAUACAAGUUUAAAAAACAAACUGAAGCUUAAUUUAUAUAGACAUACACAAUUUCGUGAAAUCUUUUACUAUAUAAAAUAUAAUAUUUCUUUCUAUGAUUUUUAUUUUUCUAAUACCUAUAUAUUUAAAGUGAUAAACUAUAAGUCUCUUAACUCCGCGCAGGGCGCGGGUUAUCACCUAGUUAGCUCAUUAUUAGACGAGGAAGUGGAAACUUCCAUUGUAAAACUUACCAAUAAUAUUACCGUACACAGUGCCGGUCCUAGGAUUAUAUAGGCCGGAAGCAAAUUAAUUUUUUGGGCCUGUAAAUUGGCUCAUUUAAAAGAAAUAAGGAAAUAAAAAUAAUUAAGUGUUGAGGAAGAAUCGAAGACAUAACCUCUCCCGUGUGUGGCAGCAACUUUGACCAACUAACCUAGUGGACAAUCCUGGAAAAUGUGGCUGAAUAUUUAUUAAUUAUUAGGUGGCCGGAAGCGUAUGCUUCCUUGGCUUACCUUCAAGGCCGGCUCUGACCGUACAGAACUUCACUCAAAUAGACAAGUCAGAUCCGUAUCCAACAAAAUACAUACAUGAUGUUUAUUGAUAUAAGGAAAAGUAAAACAUUUCAACUUUAGCUAGGUUCUAUAGUUGACUGAUAUUUGCUGGUUGGCCGUAUGGUCGACGUAGACGUAGAACCGAUCUCAAAAGUACUGUUCGUAGUGUCAUAGUUAAAAUAAACGGGAGGUUUAGGCCGAGGAAGCUCUGUUGAACUUUCUUACAUUACCACAAGGGAGGACAUUGUAGGUAUGUCUCGUGGAAUAUUCUGUACGCACAAGGGAGGACAUUGUUGUCGACAUAGAUGUAGAACCGAUCUCAAAAGUACUGUAUGUAGUGUCACUGUUAAAAUAAACGGGAGGUUUAGGACGAGGAAGUUCGGUUGAACUUUCAAACAUUACCACAAGGGAGGACAUUGUAGGUCUGUCUUGUGGAAUAUUUUGAAUGCAUAACAGACCAAUUUGGGUAUAUCGAACAAUGCAUAACAGACCAAUUUGGGUAUAUCGAACGAUCUGAAUCAUUGUUAACGGUGAAGAUGAUGAAUCCAUAAUGGAUGGAUCAACUACCUCAAGCAAGCAUUCUUCUUCCCAGUUCCUCCACAUCUGCUUAUAAAAUGGUUUUUAGUAAUGUUACUUGGGAAAGAAACAUAAAUGAAACCAAUGAUAGAAUUACUUACGCAUGUGAGGAGACUAGUCUCUCCCUUAGAGUUGGUGAACUUAUAGUUCGCCUUGCCGCUUAUUAUUUCAAGAAUCACAACUCCAAAACUAAAGACAUCAGUUUUUUUUGUGAAUAUCUUGUCAGACCAGCACUCGGGAGCUAUGUAUCCCCUGAGUAAACCGAAAAAUAAGAUGAUCAGUUAUUGAAAGAGUUUUUAUCCACUUGUUGAGAAAUGAAUGUACAAUUAUGUUGAAAAACUUACCGGGUUCCAGCUACCUUAUUCGUGUUGGUUUGGAUAUGGUCUCUACUAACUAGUCGAGAAAUCCCAAAAUCCGAUAUUUUGGGAUUCAUAUCUUUAUCAAGCAAGAUGUUGCUUACUUUCAAAUCUCGGUGGAUGAUCGUUACACAUGAAUCGUGGUGGAGAUACGUCAUUCCUCUUGCGAUUCCUUUAAUUAUUUUAUGUCUUAUUUUCCAACUUAGCUUAGAGCUUUCGGUACUUCCUACAAAUUGAACACAUAUUCGACUGAAUUAGCUUCGGUCUGACCUCUAGACAGAAGAAGUUUUACCAAAACAAAAAUUGAAAGAAAAAUAUACCAACCAAAGAUAUACAAAUCAAGGCUUCGAUUUGCGUGGUACUCGAACACCAAUAUGUGCUCGUCACUGUGGAAACAAUACCCAAGUAGACUAAUAACAUUGAAGUGCUGAAGUUCUGAAAUUAAAUUCACCUCGUUCAAGAACUGAGAGGUUCCCGAAUCUGACAUUCUGGUCAGUCUCUUCACAGCGAUAUCUGUCCCCUCAACUAAUUUUCCCUGCACACUCCAAAAAGUACAACAUAUUGUAUUAGAUUAUGCAUGAUAAAAAGACACAUGACCGAAACUAUUGUGUAAUUUCUUUUUCUGAACCAUAAAUUCGGAGCCAAAGUUUGGUGUACCAAGAUUGAAACCAUAAACUAAGGUAACUGAAGGAAACAACGAUAUAACUACCACCGCACUACUGGAGAACACACAAUAAACGGAAAUUACUAUUGUGUAUUUUUUGAUAUUUCACAUGGGCUUAUAAACCCCAACAUAUUUUAGGUAGAUAAAUUGUUUUUAUAGCUAAUAAGAACCAACACGUUAACAAAUUUUAUUAUUUGUUAUAAUAUAGUUGUACCUUGUAAACUGUACCAAAUCCACCUUUGCCAAGUAUGUUUGAAUCACAAAAGUCGUUUGUUGCUUCAGCUAUAGUUAGAAACUCUAUCCGUUGAACUCGAGCUGCCACAACCUCGUACGAGUCAGUUCUAUCUCCGUCGAUUAGCAAAUCUGUGUUUCUCAGUAAGACAAAACAAAACAAAAACUGGGUAGAACAUCAAGAAAUUGAAUCAGAUCAGAUAAUGAAAUAAAGAAAGAAAUUGUUACCAGUUGCUCCUGAUGGCUUCUGCAUUAUCUUCCAGCACCACCAUAAGAUGGUGAAAGCCAGAACACUGCAGAUGGCUCCUCCGCCACCAAUUAUAACCCUUUUGAUUGUUCCACUAAACCUUCUAGUUUUGCCUAAAAAAAAACAGAAUCAGUAUUAUUAAUUCAGGAUCAUUCUUAUUAUCUGCCCUUAGUGUACCCUAGAAUAUUAAAUCUAUUGCCACUAGACCUACUUUUAAAAAACUGAUUUUUUUAUAUAAAUGUAUCUAUUUAUUUUAAAACUCUUACCACACCAUAUUUUCUCGACCAAAAACAUUUAUCACAUUCUCUUUCUAAGCAUUUUUUAUUUUCAUCAAUUAAUUUAUCACUAACAAACAAAAAUUAUGACCACAACAAUUUUUAGUUCCAGAACAAUGUACAUGAUGAUGAUCAAACCAAACUGGAAUUUUAUAAACACGAUGAAGAAAGUUUUAUGAUUAUAAUUUUCUGCAUUUCCUACAUUUCUUUUUUUUUUUGUAACACCUGCAUUUCUUACAUUUCAAAUCUCAUUUUUAAUUGAUAUUUCUCUGAUAUUUUGUUCCAAAAUAGAAUUUGUUGUAUUUCAUUUUGAAAUUGAUUUGUAUAAUUAUCGAUGCAGAUUAACUGCAAAAUUUAAGGUUUAUACUCUCAGUAUAGAUGAACAGCAGGAUGUUAGUCUUAAACGCGAUAAAUGAUGAAUUGGAUUCAGAUAUUUUAAUCAUCUAACCUGGGUUUAAGAAUGAUGAAUGACUUUUCAGAAGCCCUUUUUAACAACCAGAAGCCCAUUUAACUAAUCCACUUAAAUUGGAUUCAGAUAAUAUAAAUUCAGUUCAAUAAAAGUAAAAUUAUCUACUUUAUUAAAAUGGAGUCUUAUUUGAAUUCUACCAUGACAUGUUUUUAAUUUUGGGCCUAUUAAAUAUGUUGUGACUAAAUAUAAAAAUAUAGACUUUAUUAAAUUCACUUUCAUCUAUCACCGUUAGGAGGAGGUUUAAUACACAUUCACCUAAUUAUUUGAUUAAACAUAUUACUAAACUUAAAAGUCUACACAAGUUCAUAUGUCAUCGUUAAAAGCUUUGAACGAAAAAGUCAUCAACAGUGAAAAUCAAAAGCAAUUCUCGAGUCGAGAUGGAUUUAGUCUUAAGAUUUUCAAUCUAAACAGGAAGUAGGGUUUUUAAUCUGGAUGUGGGAAUAUCGAUUGGUAACGUUUUCAUUGAUGGUUCAUUAUAAAUUUUUAGUGCUUGGUCAAGUUUGUAUAUGUUCUUUUGGGUGGCUUGAUGGGUUUAUUUUCGUGAAAUUUAAAAGCUUUAGGCACGUGAAAACGUGGUGCGUGCUGGUGGUGGGUGUAGGAUGAGUCGGAGAGACCUUCAACUUCUGGUUCUAGCUCCUCAUCAUCCAACGUUCUAGAUUAGUACUUUAAUAGCUUAUGUGUCUCUUCUACGUUAUUCUUUGUCAAGGAUUGAGUUUUCUUUUUCAAGUUUAAACACAACAUCAAAUAAAAGACAUGGGCUUCAGAUGAAUUUAAAGUUUAUGAUAAUUUAUAGCUGGUAACAACAACCAUGUGUUAUUGGUUAGUGCUUACUAUAUAUCCAGUGAGAACUCGGUACCAAUAAUUCAAAAAUAGCCAAUUAGUUUUUAGUUUAUGUUUAAUUUGUCAUCUUGCUGUAGAGAUAGCUUUAGACUAUGGCUGUUGCGAAACUAAAUGAACUACUGACCUUGGAAUAUUUAUUUGGGAUUUGUAGAAGAGACGGCAUAUACCAACAGGCAACAGCAUCUUUAAAUACCCAACCCACAAUAUUUUCUACACUGAACAUAUUAUAAAUAAGAUUUGUAUUGUUAAACAGAUUUUUAGUUCAACGUUUUCAGGAAUAUUUUUAUUUUAUUCAAUUUCCUGUUUUUGCUAUUUUUAUAUGUAGAAUAUAUUAAUUACAUUCCAACUUUCCCGAAACAGUUUAAGAAAGUUGUUCACUAUUUAUUCACUUAAUUAAGUUUUUAAAUAACUAAACUAAAAAUAAAAUGUCUAACAUUGUUAUUUGAUCCAAACCAAAAACCAAAAUAACUAAAUUCAAACCAUAUUCAAAUUCAAAAAUAACUGAACGAUUACUAUAUUUCUUGAACCAAAUACCACAUCCGAACCGGAACCAAACAAAAAAAAAAUCUGGAAACGAACCCAAACUUAUAAAAUUUUAUUAAAUCAUAAUUUUUAAUUUAAAAACAUAAAUUAUAAAUAUAAAUAAUCUCGCGCAUCCGCGCGGGUCAAAUUCUAGUUUGUAUAAAAAUAAAGUACAAACCAUGAAAACUUAUAAUUUUUAGAACUACAAAUUAUUUAAUGUAUAAGAAAAAGGUUUCCAAAACUAAAAUAAUUUCGCAUUAGAUUAUAAAGUUUUUGACUUAAUGUAAAAUAAAGUUUACUUAAAGUAUAACUUUAAAAAUAUUUUAAUCGAUUUGUUGACAAAUGAAUAGUCAUAAUUGUUAAAAAUUAUUAUGCAGUGAUUUAGUUAAGAUUUGACAUAGGUAUUCACUCGGGUAUGGUUAGUUUUUUUGUUAUCAUUUUCUUAGGUUUUGAAAAAAAGUCGCAUCAAUACUAUUAAAAUGGAAGGAGUCUUAAAAAAUCUACCUAUAAAAGUUGUUUGGACUCUUUUAUUUAACUCAUUAUUUUUUGGUAUUACCUUAAAUUUAGACUAACAAUAUGUUAUCAUAUAUUUCUCUAACAAUAAUUUAUUCAAUUCCUUUAUUUAUUCAAAUAUCACUCUUAAAUCUUAAUCAUUACUAUUACUAUAUUUACUAUUUUGACUUUUAAUCAUAAAAACAUUGAAACUAAUGUUUUAUAUUAUCACUUUUAUCAUAUAAUAUAUGAUUUAAAGCAAGAGAAGUUACAUGAUAUAUAUGUGUACAUUCUAACUUCCUCUUUCCUUUAUAAUAACAUAAUCAUAUCAUAUAUAAACUUUCCUACUAAAAUUUCAUAUUAUAUACUAAACUUUUAACCCUCUAUAGUUUGAUAGAUAUUUUCAUAUUUAAAAAUGAGUUUUCUAAAAAUAUUUCAUCAACCAUGUUUUUGUACAAUAACAUUAAAAAUCUAUAUCAAAAGGUUGUUGGACCCGAGAUAGACGUAAUAGGUCCACAUCUGUUCGGGUAUUUAGGAUCCUAAGAAAAUUCGAAAUAUCAAAAAAAUCUGAAAAAUAUCUGAAACACGAAAAGUACUUGAAACUCCAAACAAAUACCCAAAAAAAUUCAAAUACCUAAAAAUUCAAAAUCUUAUUAAAAAUCUGUCACUAAACUGAAAAUACCCAAAAAAAAAUUUUAAUUUGAAAAUUUACCUGAAAUCAAAACUAUAAUCAUAAACCAAAAACCUAAAAAAAAUAUCCAUAAUGCUGGAAACAUAUUCGAAAUAUCCAAAUAUACCUAAUAAACACAACAUAUUUAUGAUUGGGUCAAGGGUAGUACCCGGACACAAACAAAGACAUGCGGGUCCAAAAAAAAACCCCAAUUCUUAACUUCUCUUGACCUGAACUAAAACUAUAUUUCUGGGUCGGUUCGGUUUGUUUUUUUGAUCCGGAUAUAAUUCUCAUGCCUAAAACAAAUUUACGUAAAAGUGUACAUAUAAAAUAUCAAAUAAACUAAUUCAUAGAUUAUAUAACUGUUAGAAAUUAUAUUUUCGAUAUAAUAAAACUUUGUAUUAUAAUAUAAUCCAAAAAAUCCGCGCUUUCCAAGCGCGGGUCAAAAUCUAGUUCUUGUAUUAUAAAAACUGGAUCAUGUUUUCAUGGAUCCUGGUGAAUAUAGUUUUAAUGAAAAAAGCAAAAUUUUCCGAAUACUUAUUUGGUUUUGGUGCGGAGCGGGUUCAUUAUCAAUUUCGGAUAUGGCAAUUAAGUUCUAUUCAAAGAUAUAUAAUCUAAGUCUAAUUGGUUCGAGACCCCGACUUUUGAGUCGGUUCCAUGUCAGUUUUUCUAUGCGGACAUUAUUAACUAAUUACAUUAAUAACAACAAUGCUGAUAAAUACAAAAAUUUAUAUCCUAAUUUUACUGAACUUGAUUACAUGUUUUAAAAUUUCAUCUCCUAUAUUUGCAUAUCAUUCUAAAAUCUGAUUACAUAUUUCAUAAUUAGAAGAAAAAAAAUUGACUAAAAAAUCUGUUAGUGUUUGGAUUCGAACCUGAUAUAGAAACUAAAUACACCUGACUCAUUAACCACUCGCCCAUUCGUAUUUUUUUAAUAAUUAGAAUUAUUUCAAUUCAAACAUUAAACAUAUAAUAAUUUGCAUAAAUUAUGUUUCUUUUGUAACAUUUAAAAAUAUAUACAAAAUUGAAAGUAUAAAUUUAUAUCAAAUAUAUUUAGUUUGUUCCGAUAAUAAAUUUGCGCUUUCAAAAUACUAGUAUAAUAUUAAAACUACUCUUAUUUUGAGUUUACUCUAUGAAGAGAUAAAAAAUUUACCGAGAUAACUAGUAGCCACUUUGAUGUAUAAUUGUUGACCACUUUGCAGUGUUCGUAAAUCAACUAGAUCAGAACUGUAAAGGAAGCAAUCCAACUCCACAUUAGCAAACCCCGUACAGCUGCAAUCUUCUAUACACCUUUGUCUACAUUCCUUUGGACCAAUGCUCCUCUCCAAACCCGCGUCCUUUGUAUCUGGCAACUUGACAUUCUUCAGAACUUGAAACCCAUUGCCAGUACAGUUCAACCGACUUAUUCUCUGGCAUCCUUCUGUCAUGUUUCUUAACCACCAUCCCCGCCAGUUUCUUGGCUUAAAGCCUUUGAAACACGUACAGCCGGCAAACACGUGAACGUCCACCUUCUCAAGGCUGCAGACGCUGUUAGAACCACAAAUCUUGCCGUAAAGAUCGCAUCUAUCUCUGGGCCCACGCCAUAGCAAGGUCUUUUCACGUGUAGUUGGAGACCACGAAAACUGCUGUAAUAAUCCGUCAUAUGUAACUUGCAGUAGUAGCAAGUAGUAUCCAUUGCCAAGUGCAUAAGGUGUCUUUAAACCGAAACUUCUUCUGUAAACCGGUGAUGAUUUCGCGUCCAACAAAAACAUCUCCUGAUUUUUGCUCAGCAAUGCAUACGAAUAAAUUCCGGUAGAAGGGUUGUUGUUGCUUAUCCACGAAGUAAGGCUUCUGUUGACGCCUUUAGCCAAAUCAGACCCAGGGAGUAGUGUGUCGGUCGGGUAAUCGAAACUUUCCCAAAGAAACGAAUCCCCCCUGUUGUCGUCUGAGUAUCUCAACACGAAGUUUCCGUUAGAUAGAAGCUCUGCUACCACCGAAGAUGUUUUAGGAGGAGAAGGGACUACCGCAUUCGAAGAGGACCAUAUAAUGUUUCCAGAUUGAUUGACAAUGACGAGGUUGGACUUGUAUAUUUUUAAGGCUCCCUUGGAAUCAUACAAGGGGCUCUCUCGAUUAGCUACCCAAAGAGGAUUCAUCUUCGAACUAGCUUUGUAGAACCACAAGCCUAGGUACCAACGCUCGCCAUCUUCUUUAGUAUUAGACCCGGCGAGUUUGAAGAAACCGAGCUCGAAAACGUUACCGGGAGAAAUCAUUGUGCGAUUGCUUGAGAUCGAGAGAAUUUGGUUAGCUGUCAAAGUGUUUGACGACCAUACAAAUGGCACGAGAAUCAAAACAAUAUAGUAUGAAAUAAAGGUCUGAUGAUUUGCCAUUUCUUUGAGAGAAACUUGCGAUUCAAGCAAAACUAUUCUCCGCUCUCUCUUUUUAUUUUUUUAUAUACAAAAGAUAACAAGUUAAACUCAUUACAUGUGCGUUUUAGGCUUGCAUUUACUGACAACAGCGACGAAUUGAACACAAUCGAUUUGUUAACUAACUGUGUUCGGCAACCUAAAAUCCUUGAAUUAUUUUUAAGACAAGACUGACUACUACUCUAAGGGAACAAGUAGGCAUGGGCCUAUAAACCGGGAACCGAAUAAUAAUAAUAAUAAACCUGAACGAACUUAAGGUCACAAAUUACCGAGUGGUUCAUCUAUUUAAAAAAAAAAAAAAAGCAAACCAGUUAUCCAAAAUUUUUAAAAACAAUUUACAUACUUAAAAAAAUUAAUUAUAUUUAGUUUUAAAAUUACUUAUAAACAGAUAUACCCAAAAUACUUGGAUAUCUUUUUAUCUGAAAUAUUAAAAUUAUUUUACAUAUCUGAAAGAAACUAAUUACUUCAGAACAUUUAAAUUUAUCCUAUUACCCGAUAUAUAAUCUGAAAAAUGAAAAGAUCCAAUUUAUUAUCCAAAAUUAAUUAAAAAUUGGAACCGAAUCAGAGCCAAAUUGAGACCAAAAAGUUUAUCCGAUAUUCGUUAGUCCCCAUAAUAGUUAUCCUAACCGAAUAAACCAAAAUAACUGAACCGAAUUGAAUCAAAUUUCAUAAAUAACUAAUCGGUUUCUACAUCUAUAGAACCGAAAAACCAAAAAUCAAAAGAACCGAACUGGAACCAACCAAACACCCAAAACUAGGAACAAGGAUUUUUGUGACAAAAACUUAAAAAGAACUAUUUGAGAGAAUUGCCUAUAUAAAAAUGACUGGUGAAUUCAUAUGCGUUAAUAUUUUUAUAUCUUAUCAUCGUAACAGUUUGAUCGACCAUUAGCAUUAUUAGUGAUUUCAUGUUCAAAAGUUAAGGUUUAUGGAGUUGGUUAGUGUUUACUAGAUAGUUGUUAGUAUAUAAAUCAAAUAGGGUGAGAAAAAAGAUAUAACAUUUGAAUUUAAAAAAUUAAACAAUUUAUACGAGUAAUUAAUUGUUAUUUUUAUUUAUUUUACCCAAAAUUAAUUUCAAAAAUAUAGAAUUGUAAUAAACUGUUUCAAAGAUAAUAAUAACUCUAAAAAUAUAUAAAAUUAUAUAGUUACAAAAUUAUUUAUUUUUAGAGUUUUUAUUGGGAUAGAACCGUGGAUCACACAACUCUGUCAAGAAAAACAUACGUUUGAAGUAUUAAAACCGAUAGCUUAAAUAUUGAUAAAACAAAUAUGGUAUAUAGCAUUCCACAGAAAGUCAAGAAGUUGUCAAUACCUUUUCCUGGGUAAGUAUUUCAGAGGUGAAUCUCAUAGUUUCAGAUUUUAUUUUAUUAGCUAAAGUUUACGGGUGAAAACAGAAAAUAUGAAAGCCCUAGAUACAUACAAAAGAGUUUUAGCCCACAUAUACGUUUUAUUGGGCCAGAAUGCGGAUUUGACUAAAUAGGUUUCCAUAAUCAAGUUACACGUGAGUAGUGAAACAAUACGGUUAACAAUCGGUGAGAGGCUCAGAUCCUUAGAGACAAACGGUUCCAAACAUUAGCUAGUGCAACAGUCGACUCCAUUAGUGCAAACUGCUCUCCAAUGCAUUUCCUUGGCCCUCCACCAAAUGGUAAAGAUUGAAAGUCUGCUAUGAUCUGUUCUCACCAUAACACCAUCCCACAAAGGAGACAAUAGUCUUGUUACAAAGCAGGAGAGAGCUAACUAAAAAAUAAUGAAUUUAAGGGGAAGACUGGAUUUGCAAGUUUUGGAUGUUCACCUCGUUGGGGUAAAGUGCACCAGGGCUUCGAGAUGGAUCAAAUCCAGCCCAGCCUUCAAUACCAUUGCUCUCCUUUGUUCUUAAGAACCUAUCAGGCUCAAACUCUUGUGGGUUAUCCCAAAAGUAUGGAGAUCUAUGGAGAUUUUACACCUGAAUGUUUAAUAACUGAUAAAAUUAAACAAAAGCAGGUUCCAUUGAAGAAUCAUAAACUAAUAUAAAAAGAUACUACGGAAAUGAAGAUAUCGGUCCUUUUUGGAACUUUAUGACCUUCCUCUUCACCUUUGUAUCCUCCUGCAUACGCAAGACAUGGUCUAAGUCUUUCUCUAGUCAUUUCUGUACGCAGACUGCAUAUAAUCAUAAAUUCAUAACAGAAGCUUCUUGUAUUUUAAUGAAAGCAACUUCAUACAUACCAUUCAAGGUUUCUGGUUUAAGAGUGUGCCUGAUGAGCAGAGGCGGCUGAGGAUACAGACGAAGGGAUUCUACACCAAUGAGUCAUAUGUACCUGCAGAAGCAUUGAGCAAAGCAGUCAAUGAUUGAAACAACUAGACCAAAAGAAAGAUCUAAGAAGAUAAUUUAUAAGUUAACGUACUCUAGCUUUUUCAAUGAUUCAUUAGUAGGUGCACCUUCACCAAGCUUUCCUAAUUUUUUCAGGAUUCUGCAAGUUUAGAAGCAAAAUACUAAAUAACUGUACAAUGAGAUUUUAAGCAGUCAUGGAAAAAAUGGGAAUAUGACAUUUAAGAGCAUACUUGUGCAAUAAGAUUGAUGUACAAUAAGAUAUAUAAUCUUGCAUACCGGUCAUCAAUUGAUCAAUAUCAACACCGCGCAUGUCGACCAAGAACCGUAAAAGACUUGCAUCAUAUGAAUCCAAGAAAACAAAAUCAAAAGACUUUCAUAACCUUUAGUAAUGAAUGCAAGAGAUAAAAGAUAGCAGAACCUUCUUGAGAUUAGAGUAGUCACGUUGCUGGAGUUCUCUAUAUCUGUUUCCUGGGAAAAACAGAGAUAACAAAGUCAGAAACUAAACAGUAGAAUGAAGAUAGCAUCAAGUAGUGAAACACCUGUCUUGUCUCUUUUGCGUUUUGAAUGACUCCAUCAAGGCAAUCGUUUAUAAUCUUGAGAUCACUUUGGAAUUUUCUUUGCCUUGGAACUUACCAUCUGGCUGGAGGAAAGUUCCAAUAAGUAGACCGAUGAUCUGCCUCGAAAAGAGUUCCAUAAACCGCCUGCGAUGUAAACAAAAACAAGUCAAGAAGGGACCGGACCAGCUUGCUAAUAGACAAUUCCAAGAAAUUAAAAAACCUUACAUCUAUAAUGUUGCAGUAUCACAAUCACAUCUACUAAUCACUAAUACACAUUUAUUUCAAAUCUUGAGUAACCUUUAGGAUAGAUUCCAACAUAUAUUCACCAAAAGAAAAUCUUUCAUUCACCUCUUAAACUAAAAUUCACAUCACUUUUUUUAUGUUUUUUUCCAUGGACAUUAAACACGAAAAACAAAAUAAAAUUAAUUAACAGAGUAUAUUAAACUUUGUACUGAAACUAACUCUAAAAGUGAAGAUAUUUGAUAUUGUUACCUUUGCAUCUGGACUUAAGACGACAUGAACUUAAUGUAGAUAUAACCAUAAACCCAGAUUAGCAGACGAAAUCACUGAGAACAAUGAAAGCUCACUGCCAGAUCGCUGACCACAGCAGCCAUGACAGACACAAGGUUUGAGCCAAUGCAUCUCCAACUAAAUGACGAACCGUAGCAUCAUCAGCAGAAAGCGCAGCUCCAAUAGGAGUAUUGAUUUCUCAUUCUCAUCAACCGGUCCAAUUUCCACGUGAACCUCUUUCUCAUCCGCUGCACCAGUUUACAUCUGACCAUAGACCAUAGACCAUACAAAGAAAGAUGGUAGACCCACGAUAGAGAAGCUACAUGGAGAAGCAUGAAGAUGAUUGAUCAAAACUUUGUAUCGGAUUAUAACUGCUCAAAUGGUUUGAUUAAGGAUUUUAUAACCCAAGAGAUUAGAAUCUCUAAAGUCGUGUUUGCUUAAACUUUAUUCAAUUCCUUGGUAGAUGUAACGGUGGAUGAUUGGCAUUCUUUAACAGAAAAUCAAGGUUUUAAUGAGUAGGCAAUAAGAUUAAAGACCCAUAUGGAGGGUAGUUGCCGAUAAGUCACAUUUGGAAUCUCUUUCUACGAAGAAGACGAUGACUCAUGAUAACAAAAAUAUAGACACACUGCAUUAACAAUGAUAAAUAUUUUCUCCUCUUUUUUUUUACAAAAACAACGAUAUUACUCUUUAUAUAAUAAAUAUACAAUUUUUUUUUAGAAUUGACCUGGACAUUAAAUUGGAUAACUUUUCAGGUCACCGGAUUAUUAGAUGACUCCGGACGAACCACAAGUUAAUUAGUUUUAAUACAUAGUUAUGUAUUACCUUUUUCAUAAUAUCAAAAUUAACAUUUCUUUCAAAAAUAUUAAAAAAUAUUAAAAAAUUAGUUUCUUUUUUUCAUUUAUUUUAAUAAAUAAUUUAGACUACUAUGCAUGGCAACGGAUUGUUCUCAAUUAGUAAAGAUAGUUUCAGAACCGGAAAAAUGACCAGCAUUUGACAUUUACCUGGGUGACAUUAAGCUUUUAAAAAUAAGCUUCCUUAACUCAGAAAUCGUUCAUGUAUCUCAGACGAAGAAUCUAAAAGGGUGGAUAGCUUAGCACGCAGUGCUAGGAAACAACCAUCUUUCGCCGUUCACAUAGAUACAAAGUUACCGAUUUGGUUUACAGAGUCAACAUGAGUCUGUAAAUGUUUGUUGUUCAAAAAAAAAAGACUACUGUCGAUAGAUAACAGGAAAAAAAAACUAAUGCCAAAUUUCAUCAACUACCGGUUGAAUUCUAAGUGUAUAUACAUGUUUGGAAUGCAAAAACAAACUUCAGAUUUCUUUCUUGGCAUCCGUUUUGUAUAGUAAGUUAUUAGUAAUUGAAUAUAGUUUAUACGAUACCGAAAAUAGAUCAAUUGAUAUUUGAUACAAACAGUGAAUAAUGUAGAAAAAUAUAAUAAAUGUAUAAAUAUAAAACAUAGUAUAAAAGAGAGAAAAAAAUAAUAAAUGUAUAAAUAUAAAACACAGUGAAUAAUGUAGAAAAAAUAAUAAAUGUAAAAGAGUGAGCCAAUCAAAUUAUAACGUUUUCACUUAAGUGUGUUGUCAAAUAAUAGUAUGAUGUAAUAUCUACUUGGUUUGUUUUUUUUUUUUGUUAUCCUGUCAAGAUGGUGGACAUGCAUAUUGGUAAAAAAGCAAUUGCAAAAGAAGGAAAAAAUUGUUUUAUUAGUAGAUGAGCCUCUUGCAAAAUAAUAAGGUGGCGUGUACAAAGGCAGACACAUUUAAUGUGACCUAGAGUUUAACCCGCACGCAUGCAUGUACAUAUAUUUUUUAUUUUAUAAAUAUAUAACUUUGAUAUUAUCAUAAAAAGUACAAAUAUAUGAUUUAAAUUUAGUGUUAUCUAUACUAUAUUAAAAGGGUUAUAUGAGCAUCUGUCCACAUAGGACAAUUAAAUCAGCCAAUCAGGUGGCUUCUUUACGACACGUCAGACACGGUUUGACCAAAGGCGAUCCUCGACCCCUUUUCUUUUCGUCUUCUCCGUCAUCUUCGUUUCGUGAGAUCGCCGAUCUGGCUUACUAGCAAUCAAUCCCCUCCUCUGCAAUCAAUCCCCUCACCAUUUCUAUACACUAUUUAAUCUCAUUAAUGGAACCUUUUGAGCUUUCCCAAUCUGAGAUUCUAUAUAGAUCUCGCACUCCACCUCUUAUCUUCACUAAAACUUAUUCCCUCCUCACGUCAGCCAGUUGCCUUCUUUCUUACUCUCACGCGCCUCCUCUAGCGAACGAGCGAAGUAAUCUCCAGUCAUCGGAGAAGGAAUCCAAGGCGAAACGCCGCUAUUUGGAGAAGGAUAAAGGACAGAGCUCGAUUGAGAGGAUCGUUCUCCGUCUACGGAACUUAGGAUUAGCAGCUUCUGACGACGACGAGGAGGACGAUGCGGAGGAUAACGAGGAGGAGGAUGUGAAGAAGCCGGUGACUGAAGAAGAGAGGUUAGGCGAUUUGCUGAAGAGAGAGUGGGUGAGGCCUGAUGUGAUACUCGCUGAGGGAGAAGAGAGUGAUGAUGAGGAGGACGAUGAUGUGUUGUUGCCAUAGGAGAAGAACAAGGAAGAACAGGCGGCAGAGAGUAAUGAAGGAGAUGGAGGAUUGUCGGCGGUGAAGAAGAGGAGCUUCGUCGUUGUCGGAGCUUACGAUUGAGGAUUUUGGGCUACGGAGGCUGAGGAGAGACGGGAUGUAUCUGAGGGUGAGGAUUAAUAUACCUAAAGCUGGCCUCACGCAGGCGGUGAUGGAGAAGAUUCAUGAUACUUGGAGGAAAGAGGAGCUUGUGAGGCUUAAGUUCCAUGAGGUGCUUGCUCGUGAUAUGAAGACCGGCUCAUGAGAUUGUUGAGGUAUGUUUCAAUUGAUUACUGGUUGAAAAAAGAUCUCUUUAUUGCGUGCAGGACGUUAGUUGAAUUUGAGGUGUGAAAUUUGAAAUUAGAUAGCUAAUAUAUAGGGACAAUAACCACUUAAUCUCAAGUUAGUUCUGCAAUAGAAUGGUCUUAGUAAUGAUCAUUCAAGUUAGUUCUCUCUUAGUCUUGAAUGAUCUUGAACAAUAAUUACCUAAUCUCAUUACCUAAUCUCAACUUAGUUCUGAAACUUAGUAGUUCUCUUUCUUAGUAACAGUAAUGCAGUUUUGUAUAGGAGAUGGAGCUGAGCAUGGCUGUUAAAUAGUAACAAGUUGAUGCAAAAAAAAAUUGUUUUGUUGGGAACUGAUUGGAUUUACUCUUGAUGGGCAGCGUCGAACUGGUGGAAUGGUGAUAUGGAGAGCAGGAAGUGUAAUGGUGGUUUACCGUGGACGUGACUAUCAAGGACCUUCUGCAGUCUUUAAUCAAAUGGCCAGACCUGAAGAACACUAUCAAGGACCUUCAGCAGGAAGUGUGCUGGUGUAUUCUUAUGUAACAGUAGAUGAUUUGAUGCGUUUCUUUAGUGUCAUUUCAUGAUAUCUUUAGAUAUGAAGAUAGGUUGGUUGAUGUUCUUGAAAACAUGGCGUUUUAAGGUGUAUUGGUUUGAGUUUUUGCAGCUGAUGAGAGAAGAUGAGGCAACCCUUGGUAAAAUAACUAAGCCUAGGCGUCCCAAGACUGUUGUUCUGUGUCCCACCAGAGAACUCUCUGAGCAGGUUCUUCUACUUCUACUGCUUUUAUUUUCUCUCUUUACCAAGAUUAGUUGCUGCUCUAGGACAUCGUAAAUUUGGAUUCCAUGUUUGAGUUGAAACAAAUUUGAACUUGUGAAAAAAAAAAUAAAAAAAAUAUGAACUUGUGGUUGCUGGGUAAAAUGUAAAAGUUGGAAUAUUUAUUUUCUAGAAAGUUUUGGUUGCCUUCUUAUAGGAUGACCAUAACACUGGAGAUCAUGAGGCAUAUGCCUGAGCAUCCCAACGUUGUUACCUUGAGGGAGACUUAUGAGGAUGAGCAUGCUGUGCAUUUGGGUAUGGAGCUUUGUGAAGGUGUUGAGUUGUUUGAUAGGAAUGUGGCGAGAGGGCAUUACACUGAGAGAGCUGCUGCUGUUGUCACUAAGACCAUCAUGGCAGUUGUUCAGGUUCGUCACGGUUUUGCUCUUUGUUUAUCUCCAGAUUGGUCUAUAGAUGUUCUAUGUCUUAGUUUAAGCUCGUGUGCUGCUCCUUCUUCCUCUUCCCUUGCCGUAAAACCCUUCAAAGGUUUCCAUUUGGACCUGUUUUUGAUUGUCCUUAAUGCUAUGCUACACUAGGAUUAGGCCACUUAAUCUCUUUGCUGCAGUCAGAAAAUGGAAAUUGUGGGUUCAUGCCAUGUAUAUACAGAGUUUGGGUGAUGUUCGCAUUUGAUGAUUCUGAUUCUGAUUUGAUUUGUGUUUUAAUUGAUAAAGACAGUUGCUUGCUCUUUUAUGAAUCUGUCCGUAAUUGUUUUAUUUACUAUGCUACACUAGGGCUAGGCUACUAAAUCUCUAUGCUGCACUCACAAAAUGGAAACCGUGGGUUCUUGCCAUGAAUAUUGAGAUUUUGGUGGUGUUUGCUCUAAUUUCAUUUGUAUUAAGCAGUCAUUUUGCAUGUGAUGCAUAAUAGACUUGCUUCUUAGAGGAUUUUUUUGUUUUGAUUUAUUUAUAAUAUAGCUGUUUGCUCUUCUCUGGAUAUGUUUUUAAUUUUUUGUUGUUGUUGUUGUUGUUGUUGUGUGUAUAGGGAUGAGCUGGGUCGCUUUGUUUCUAAUAAAGGCAAUGAAUCGGUUCUCAAGAACUUUUGGCAUCAUACAGAUGCUAUCAUCUGCUGCUCAAUGAAGGUACUAACUUAAACAUCAAACACUCAAUGAAUGUUUUAUUAUUCACUGAUCCUCUUUUAACCUUUUUUUGUUUAGGCCAUGCCAGUCUUCAUAUUUGCAAACCAGGCGGGGCUAGACAUGCUUGAGACAACAUUGGUUUCUCUUCAAGAUAUCUCUUUAGAGAAGAUAUUUGAUGACAAUGGAAGGAAGACUCUCUGCUCUGAGUUCCCACAGAUCAUGCAACAGGUUUUUUAACAACGUUCUGGUCUGAUUCGUGUAUGUAGUUUGAUAUCUGACUUUAACAUGAUUUUUUUGGUUUAGGGCUUUGCGAGUCUUCAAGGUGGGAUAUGUCUAUCAAGCAUGGGGAGACCAGUUUCAUACGAGAGAGCAGUUGCUUGGAAAGUACUCAAUGAAGAAGAGAAUGCUCAUUGUAUCUGCUUUGUGUUCAUCAACUGGUCCUUUGUUUGAUACUUCAAAAAUAAUCGGUUUUAAAGAUUUCUAAUUCAUGUAAUAUUAAAAAUUCAAAAUUUGUUUAUUACAGUUAAUAUUUUACCAUUAGAUAUAUUAAAAUAAUAUUCUAGAUCGAUAUUCAAUUGUCAGUUUUCAACUAUUACACGUAAAAAAUAUUAUUAAGUACAUUUUUUUUGAUAAGGGGGUUUUAUAUUUUAAGUAGGUUAUUGGAAUACUUUUUCUUUUCGUGAAUUUAUUCGAUAUGAGAUUUCGAUCUCUUAAACUAAGAUAAUUUAUGUUCUAUACAUAAUUAUAUUUUUUACGUAACUCUAAAAUCUCAGACUUGAUUCUUUAUAUUUUAUUAGUUAAUUGUGUUACAUAUAAUAGAAAUACUUACUUCAAACUUAAAAUAUAAAAAAAAAUCAAAUUUAAAAUUAGUUAUAUAUAAUUUAAUAUAUAAAAAUUCACAUACAAAUAAAAAUGAUAAAUGUAAUAAAUUUGAAUAUAUUAUCCGCGCGUAGCGCGGAAAAAAGAUCUAGUAUAUUGAAUAACUCUAUAAUCUUAUUGUCUAAGCUUCUUAUUCGUCAUUAUUAAUAUAUAGUGAUAUUUUGAGUUUGAUACAUAAAUUAUAAUCUGAAAUUAUUAAAUAUACGAUUUCUUUUAAUAAAGCUUUAUAAUUUCUACAAUUUGUAUACAAUACAUUUUAAAUUUUAUAUAGUUAUACUGCAUACGGAUAUUUGUUUAUUAUCUAUCUAUCUAUCUAUCUAUCUAUAUAUAUAAAAUAUUGUUUGCUUCACUCUCAUGCUGCCACGUCAUCGCCACGUAGAUAAGUCGAAGGCUCCUGUCUUGACACGUGUCUCACAUCCUCGAAACGCAACACUUCGUUAACUCUCGGAAAUUUGGUUAGUUAAGAUUUGAUAGAAACAAUUGCUUUGGGCUUAAAAGCAUAAGUCAAGUGGACUUCUGAUACAAUUAUCGGGCCCCAUUAUAAUUGUCUUCACCUUCACAACUUUGACGAAGAAAAGCAGUCAUGAAUUUCCGCUAUUGUUGAGCUCAUGUUUGUCAAACGGAAUAUGGAGCUCCAGCUGGGUUAAGAGGGAAAAUCAUUUCCGGCGAAUCUCUGGUGGAAGGCUCCGUUGUGGUGCAUAACUUUUCACCUACUUUAAAAAACUGACACCUUUACGAAUCUUCUCGGCAUUCAAUCAUUCACAUCAAUGUUCCAAUUAACUCCAUUUCCCCACUCCUUCCACGAUUUCUCAUUCAUUGCAUUCCCCCUAUCUCACAGUCGGUGAAUUUGUAGCUAUAAAUAUAUGAGUUUUUUUCCCAAAAAUUCAUCAUCUCAUUUCUCAGACAAAAACCUUUCGCCAGAGUAUAACGACGUACUCCUCUCUCCUACUUGAUGACAUGAUGUUCGGGCUCUACUGUAACACAACUUUCGAACUACCUCUGAAAUACGGCAGCUGAGAUUUUUGGAUGGCGCUCGAGAGAGAGAAGCCGCAAGCUUAUGGGUGUCUGACAUGCUGGUCCUCCCACAAAUUAAUUCCAGCUAACAGAAAAUCAAACAUUUGAGAUUUUUUUAAUAGUUCAGUAUUACCAUGAUAGAUAUGAUCUCAGAGCCAAAGCCUUCCAAAAGUCUUCCCAGGUACAGCAAAAGAAAAGAAAAAAUUCAUUAGUUGCUGCUAGAACAAAACAGAGUAAUUUAAUAAUAAAGAAACAAGCUAUACCACUGGCAAUUGUAUCAAGACCCAUAUUGGAUAGAGAACCGAACACAUAGUACUAUUUAUAGCUAAGGGCAUCUCCAAUGGAACUUUAUUUUUUCUCUAUAAUUUACACAAAAAUAAAGUAACUCUAUUAUAGUGUAACUUUUGCUCCAAUGGUGUUACUCUAUAAUAGAGUUACUCUAUUACUCAAUUAUAGAGUAGAAUAUAGAGGAAUGUCAUAUUUUACUCUAUAUUUGGAAUGAAAAAGUGACAUUCCUCUAUAUUUCACUCUAUAAUAGAGUAACUCUAUUAUAGAGUAACACCAUUGGAGCAAAAGUUAAACUAUAAUAGAGUUACUCUAUUUUUGUGUAAAUUAUAGAGGAAAAAAUAGAGUUCCUUUGGAGAUACAAAAGAAGCUAUGGUCAGUCACACCUUUCUACAAAUGAUAGAAAAGGUUGAAAUUUUUCAUUGACUUACGGUGAAUCUGACAUAAAUAAAAAAUUUUAAGAACAGAGAUUGAGCUGUCUCUUUGAUAACUUGAGACAGAUCCAUCAUGCUCGAUUGUCUGGAACCCAUUCGGUACCAACAUCCCGUGUGUAUGAAAGGUCAUCACAGAUCAUUCUUGGCCCCUUUUGUAUCACUCUUCAUUUGAUCCUUAUCUCUACAUUAAAUCUAAUGUAUAAAUAUCUCCUCUUAUAUAUCAAAGCUUCAAGCUUUUCACAUACUGAUGAACUAAAAUGAUAACUCCUUUUGACUUUCUUCUCGGUUUAGAGGAUCUAGAAACUGAGUUUUUUAUGAAGAAGCUUGAAUGAGAACGGCUUAAGAGAGGCUGUCUUAUUGAGAAAGUAAAGGCAUUUGGGUGUAUAUGGCUGCAGUGUAGUGGUCAGUGGCUGGAGAGCUGGAGAGGCGAGAGGAGAUACUUCGUCAGAUAGUUUUUUUUAUGAUGACAAUUGUUAGGGUCAUGGCAUUAACCAAAUUUAGCCAAAAUAAAACUUCUUUUUAUAUAAUGGAUAAUUUAGUAUGUAUAUUUAUUUUCUAAUACUGAAAAUAUGAAAUAUGUAACUAAAAAGAGUUAUGCAAAUUUUGAGAAAACAUAUGGGUAACUAAUAAAUAUUAUUUUAUCAUAUGUUGGAGGAUUCAUUUUCUACUCAUUUUUCAAAGACCAGCUAUAUUUUUUGGAUAUUUAUCAUGUUUGGAUAGUGAUUCAACACCAUUAAUUACCUGGUUUUAAUUUGUGAAGUGAUAUAAUUAAAAUAAAAUAGUAAAUUUGUAGUAAAAUAGUGAAAUUGUAAUUAAAAAUAAACAAAAAUUUCAUCAAAAUUAAAUUAAAUUUAUAUUAUUUCGUUUAUUGGCUUAUUGCUGACCGCCCGUCCGACCAUAGUAAUUUAUAUUUUCAUGUUGUGUUAUUUUUUUUUUGUCAACGUUUCAUUUCAUUGAAAUGAAACACAAAGGCCUUACAUGGAUCAGGUUUAUACAAUGAAAGCCCAAACAAAGAUUCAAUUGAAAUUAAAAACACGGCCCAUGCCGAAGUCGGCAACAUGAUUAUCAUUCUCUCCACGCGUCACUUAUGGAAUGUCGUAGAACAUAUGGAUGAACACGUGUCCUUCAUGCCCGAGGGUGGUACUCCGGUGACGUUGAGGUUGUCGACACUAUGAACUCCUCCGCAAUUGCUUGUAUCUUUGUCUUCCCCAAACUUCCCGAUCACAUCUAGCUCCAAUCCUCCACUAAAACCGCCAUUUACAGCCACAAUUUCUUUAUCUUCGACUGAUAAAUGCUGAGGAAAGCUCGAUUUUGAUAAAAACAAAACUUUUUAUCGGACCAUCAGAGAUGCCGAUUCUACUAAGUUUCGAAACACAUAUUACUUUGCAUCAAGGAGAAUUUAUGUCAUCUAGUGGCUCACAAUAAGUGAGAGCAAAAAUUGACACCAAUAAACAAAGUAUAUGAGGAUAAUCAAAAGAAGAAAAUACCCGACAUGAAACUAACGGGAUUUAAUUGACUUUGUAAAGGAGGGGAUGAGCUUUUUAAAUUAAAAUCAAACCAUUAUCAAAGAUAAAAUUCUUCAAUUUGACAAUCAGCAUUGAAAUAGUUUGAAAAGACACCACAAAAUCACCUAAGAGAAGAGUAAUCUGCAAUCAGAACAAAAAGAUUGAUCUGAUGAUCGAAGAUUUAGACAAGCAUAACGAUAAUUUUCAUCCCUAUGAAAGAUAUUGAUGAGUUAAGAGGGAUGAAUAGAGAAAAUUUCUCUCUCUCUCCAUGUUGUAUUCAAAAAUAAUACUUUAACAUCUAUCACUUUAGUAUUUUGCAAAAUUUUAUAAGUAGAUACAUUGUUAUAUUUAAAUAAUAUAGCUUUGUUGUUUUAGUAAAUUGUAUACAUAGUAGUAUCUAUCAUACUUUUUUAUUAAUAUAUGAUUUUUUUUAAUGCUACAGCAUUAAGUUUUUUGAUUUUUUUUAUUAUUAAAUUGAGAUUUCAGAAUACUAUAUUACUUUCGAUUUUACAACCUAACUUUUUGUGUUACAUUUCAAAGAAUUAUAUUUUAGCAUCUAUGAUUUUACGUUUUAUAAAAUUUGAAAUAUUAUCAUUUUGAGUUUUCAAUAUUUAUUUUUAAAAUUGUAUACUUGGUCAAGAGAAAUUUAGAAAAUUACACAAUUAUUUUUUUAAUUUGGAACAUUAUAUUUUUUUUUGAAGAUUUCUUACUAAAUUAAUUCAAUAUUUUAUUAAAAAUAUAUUUGAACUCUUCUUAGAUUUUGUAUAUUUUUCUCAACAUAUUUUGUUAUAAUUAAAAGAAACAUUAAAUUUAUAAGAAAAAUUGAUUUGUCAUUAAUAUUUUUAGUUAAUUAUUAAAAUUUCAAAAAAUUCUAGUAACAUAUUCUGUAAAAUAAGAAAUGAACUAAAGCUUAGAUAUAUACUAUUAUUUUGUAUAUAAUUAUGAGAAAUUAUUAGAAAUACCACAAGUGAAGUGCCACUUUUCAAAAAUACCACCAAUAAAAAAUUAUACUAACAUUUGGGUUUAUGCUUUAGUAAUUAUUGUUUAGGGUUUAGUAUUAAGGGGUUAAGGUUGUGUCGAUAAAUGUUCUAUAAAUAUUUUAAAAAAUUAGCUUAGUGUUAUUUUACAAAGGGGAAUUGCCACUAAUACCACUUUUCUAAUACCACUUUUCAACUUUACACUAACCAAUUUUACCAUUAAAAUUUUAAUAGGUAAAAUACCAUUAUACCCCUAAUUAAUUAAACCUAAAACUAUUCUCUUCUUCCCCAAAGAUUUCUUCAAAUCUCAGAUCCAAAAUGAACGAUACAUGUAAUCAAAUCCGACGAAUCAGACGAUGUUGACGAGUUCUCCGGCGCUGAGGAGUUCUCCGGCAAAAUUUCUGACUAGUUAUACGGCAAGAUCCGACGACGCUGCUGAUGAGCUCAAACGAACAAGACGAGUUCUCGGCGAGAUUUACGAACACUGAAGAGUUUCCGACGAGAUCUGACGACGAGUUUUCCGGCGAGAUCUAACGAAGACGAGUUCUCUGAUGAAGCUGACAGGCUCUACAAGCUCAGACGAACGAGACGAUCUCUUUCCCNNNNNNNNNNNNNNNNNNNNNNNNNNNNNNNNNNNNNNNNNNNNNNNUCCCUACACCUAAGAAACGCUAACAAAGGUAAGAGGAUAAUAGAUGGUGAUUUUCGUCUCUUUCUGUAAUUGUAGGUUGGUUUAUCAAAAUCGAUCUGUUUCUCGAAAGGAAAACGAAAUUUUUCUCAUGAAGUUUUCAAAUCUCAAAUUUAUAAGACCUUAUAAAUUGAGUCCUUUCGAAUCUUACUGUUGAUUUGUUAGCAAUCAAAAGACAUAGAGCUUAACAUAUAUUUAAUUACUAACGUAAGAGUAAUAUUAUUCCAUGAUUACUUCUUCUUUUGGUUGAUCUGGUAAUGUUGCAGGGAAUUACAAAGGUGUGCUGUGAGCUUUUAGAUUUAAAGGAUGCUGUGGAGAAUAUAUGUGGUGAUAUGCAUAUCAAGUACCUCACUUUCUUGAGGUAAUACAAUGCUACUAUUUGUAGUUUGACUAGCAAAGUUUAGUAUGUGCAAUAUAUGAGGUAGAAGGUUGGUAUUUUGAUGUAACGUUAUGUUUGGUACUUUAUGAGAUUCAUUUUUAUGUCUUGUUUUGUGUAUAAUAUCUAAAGAAGCAGUGGAGAUGGAGAUGAGUUUGUUGAGUUACGAAAGCAUAUUAUUUUUGAAUCUUGUUUUUGGAAGUGAGCUAGUGCUGAUGCGUAGGAAUAAUAUGUGAUUGGCUUGCGUUCAGAUUUUGAAGAUCGACCAGGUUGGUGAGCUGUUUGAAGAAGUAAGAGGGACUCUGAACUAGAACGUGGUUUGUGCGAUCAAAGAAUUACAUAUUUAUAACACUUUAUAAAAGUUGCAGAGUUGGCUUGGUAAUACAUUCUUCUCUCUCAUCUUCUUCAGACAUCUCUUAAUUAGGAUGUUGUCGCAUCCAAGGGCUCAAACCAUACUUGUAGAUGGAGCUUUUAGGGAGGGCGAGCCGCUGAUUCCACUUCCUUCAUUUAAGAUCUUGGUGCUUCUCACAUUCUCUUCUCCAUCCACAGGAGUUAAGGUAAGUAGUAGUAUUUAUAAAACUAAACCAUGAAAUGAGCUUGUUUGAUUCUAAUCACAAGCAUGGUCUCUGUACAGUCUACAUAGAGGGUUGAGACAGUAUAUCCCUUGCUGAAGGACGUGGCUCUUUCACCAGAUAUGUCUUUUUGUGUUAAUUGUCUUUUUGAGGGACUUUAGAAAACUUAACUUGUAACCCAUUAUAAAUCAGUUUAUAAACGUUUAUAAAUCAUUUUUGAGUUCCUUAUACUUAUUCUGCCUAGCAUUCCUCACAAGACUUCUCAAGUUCACACAUUUAUAUGUUUUAAUAGACAUAUCCGAUCAACUCUUGUUUAAAAACUUCUUUAUAAAGACUUAUAAAUCGUAGUUUCACAAAAAAAAAAGAAAAAAAAAAGAGACUUAUAAAUCGUCAAGUUGUACUUUUAAUAAUAUCCUGAAAUCCAGAUUUAUAAAGAAUUAUAAUUAAUGCAGUGUUCACUAUCCGAAAAUCUUAAUCUUAACCAGAAUUAUUCAAAUAACAAGUCCAACUAAGCCUUAUUUGCUUUUUGGAUAACAGAAGGAAGAAAAUCCUAAAAUUACUUGAACUCUUAUUUAAAAACUUUUUUAUAAAGACUUAUAAAUCGUCGAGUUGUACUUUUGAAAAUAUCCUGAAAUCCAGAUUUAUAUUUUAUAAAGGUCUAAAAAAUUUGAACAAAUUUAACUUUUAGUAAAUAACUGCAUGACUAAUGUUGUAGAGAGAAACUCACACACAUUCAAAGACUGAAUUGAACAACAUUAAAGAGUUGACGAAGUCGGUUGUUUAGAACAUAUUCAUAUAAAUUGUUUUUAUAAAUAUUUUAUAAACUCUUAUAAAUUAUUUACAUACCUUUAUAAACCCUAGAAAAUUAUUUUAUUAACUCUUAUAACUUGUUUAAUAAGCUUUUCUAAAUGGUUAUAGACUCUUAUAAUUGAUUUAAGAUCUCCAAUUGAUUUCUAAACCUGUAUAUACCUCUAUAAACCUUAUAAAUUAUAUACAUACCCCUUAUAAAUGAUUUAUAAACUUUUAUAAUUUUUUUAAUAAACAUUUAUAAAUUGUUUAUAUACUUUAUAAAUUGUUUUAUAAGCCUUUAUAGAUGGUUUAUAGACUCUUACAAAUAAUUUGUAAACCUUUAUAAAAGGUUUAUAAUAUUUAUAAAUUGUUUUUAAUAAAAUUUUAUAAAUGAUUUAUAAACUCUUAUUAAUUAUUUAUAUAUCCUUAUAAAUAUUAUUUUACAAGUCUUUAUAAAUUGUUAUAGCCUCUUAUAAAUGAUUUCAUAGACUUUCUAUGUGAUUCAUAAACCAAUAAACCUUAUAAAUUGUAUGCAUAUCCCUUAUAAAUUGUUUAUAAACUUUCAUAACAUUUUUAUAAACAAUUAUAAAUGGUUUAUAGACUUUAUUAAUUGUUUUAUAAACCUUUAUAAAAAGAUUAUAAACUUUGCAAAUUGUUUUAUAAACUUUUAUAAAUGAUUUAUAAACUCUUAUUUGCUUUUCAUCUCUCCUUUGCUCUUUAUUUUUAUCUUCUUUCAUGUGUUAUUGCCUUAUAUCAUACGUUGCAAAAUGUAAAUUCACAAAUCCUUGUUCCCAUUAGCUUUUCUUCAUUUUAUAUCCUUGUUGAACCGUCAAGAUCCAUGUUAUCAAGAUCAGGAGGUGUUGGGUUCACGAAAUGUUUGUAUUCCUCAGGGAAUCCAAACACUGUAUUAACCACAAGAUGUAACAAAGAAUAAACAACGUUUUAUAAGUCUCUACAAAUCUCUAAUUUAUAAUUUAAUAAACUCCUAUAAAACUACAUUUAUAAUCUUUUAUAAACACUUCACAUUAUUGCAAAGACACCGAUUGGAUAAUCACUUUUGAAUUGUCUACUGGUUCUGUUCCAGCUUCAUAAAUCCUCAGAGGCAAUCUCAAAGAUGUGCAAUUCAUUGCUAUCUAGCUGCAAGACGAAAUAAAAAAUGAUGUUAACUUUUAAUCAUGGUCUAAAAAUACCUUAUCCAAUCAUAAUGUUUAUAUAUUUCGAUAACAACCUUACAAAGAAUAUAUGAUAACAAAAGACGAGACUUUUCAAAUUCACACAUUUAUAUGUUUUUUAUAGACAUAUAUGAUUAACUCCUGUUUACAACCUUUAAUUAUAAAAUCUUGUAUUGCAUUGAGUUGUACUAUCGACAAUAUCCUAAACCCAAGAUUUAUAAGAGGUUAUAAUUCUUUAAAAUGCAAUGUUCACUAUCCGAAAAUCUUUCUCCUAACAAGAACUAUUCAAAUGACAAGUCUAAAUCAACCUUAUUUGUUUUUUGGAUAAUAGAGGAACGAAAAUCCUAAAAUUACUUGAACCCAGAUUUAUAAUGGUUUAUAAUUUUUCAAAAAUUCAAUGUUUACUAUUGAAACUCUUUCCCUUAGAUCGACAUGUUCUAAACCUACCUUCGUUGACUUUCUUCGAACAAAAAAAAAUACCUAAGUAGCUGCUUCCACCUCAUCUGGUUCCCUUGACCAUCUCAAUCCACAAUACUCGCCUGCUGCAACUUGCGUCUUCUUCGACGUAGCAAGAACUUUCUCCAAAUCCAACUGUGACAAUGCCCUAGGUACCUGACAAACAAAAUGAUAGCAACUCACAACAUCAACACUUGCAAAUUUGGUGACUGCAACAGCAUUGGACAUUUUCAUAUGAAACUUAGAGGACAUGGUCUCCAUUUUCUCUCUUCCUCUAGGAUUUCUCUGAUAGGGAAGUAAGCUGCUUUCUUGCAGAGCUCAAAGAUGUCUGAUCCGGUGUAGCCUCCGCAUAGACGAGCUAAGUGAUCGUAGUCAAUAUCGGGCUCCACCCUCUCUCCCUUCAGCGUCACUUUCAAUAUCUCAGCUCUCUCCUUACGUUCAGGCAUUCCAAUCUCAAAGGCUUGAGGAAGACGCCUCAUUAUUGGUUCAUCAAACUCUGAUGAUCUGUUUGUUGCAGCAAGUACCAUCACCCUCGCAUUCGCUACGAAGCAACCAUUAUACUCAUUUAAAAACUACUGUAUCCAAGUAGAGCAUGCUCUAGACUGCACUAGAGUGAUCUGAAAGGUGAAUGAUUCAACUUACGAUCAGUAGAAAACCCAUCCCAUAAAGCCAUAAACUUAGUCUUCAUGUUUGCCAUGGCUUCGUGAUCUAUGACUUUUGUACCUGUGACUUUUGUUUCAUGCAUCUUUUUCUUCACUUAUAAAUCAUUGAGUUGUAUUUAUCAACAAUCUCAUGAAACCCAGAUUUAUAAGGGGUUAUAAUUCUUUAAUAUUCAGUUUUCACUAUCGUAACUUAUCUCUUCCUUAAUAUGCAGUUUUCACUAUCGGAAAAUCUAUUUCUUAGCUGAAACCAUUCAGAUCAAUCUUAAUAUGACUUCAAAACCAGAUUUAAGUUUUCAAAUACUCAAUGUUUUCACUCUCAACGUUUCACUAUGAAAUCAGUUUCUCUUAGAUCGACCUCUUUAAAUGAGAUAUCUAAGAGAACCUUGUUUGAUUUUUCGAUAAGAGAAAGCACAAAAUCGAAUCAAACAAAAAAAUACAGAAAUUAGAGAACAAACAAAUACAGAAAUUAGAGACAUACAAGUUGUGAAUCACGUAUAGGAGUCGACAUCUUGGAGAUUUUGAAUCGAUUUCGUCGCCGGAAGUCUACGGUGAGAGAGACACGCCGGAACUAGACGGUGAGAGAGAGACGCUAGAAGGAGAGAGAGACGACGGUGACUCGACGGUGAGAGAGAGACGACGGGGACUCGGGAAGAGGGAGAGAAACCGAUGGUGGAGAAGAAGAUAAGGUAAGGGUAUUAUUAUCUUUUGCUCACUAAUGAAAGUGGUAUUUCUGAAAAUGUCCUUAGACUUAUGGUAAAGUUGAAAAGUGGUAUCCAACAAAGUGUAAAAGUAAAAUUUCCCCUUUUACAAAUGUAAGGUAUUUGUGAAAAUAAUCAUUAAUUAAUGGUAAAUUUGAAAAGUGGUAUCAAACUUGUGGUAGAAUUGAAAUUUCCUCAAUGAUGCAUAGAUAAUAUAUUGUUGCGAGUUUCCAAACAAAUUAGACGAUAAUAUAUAGUCAUGGAUAUAAAAGUUUAACAAAUGUCAAUAAUUUUAGUUUUGUAUAAAAUAUUACAUAGUUUACGAAUUUUAACCCAUUUUGACGAUGAAUGAUAAUUUAUUUAAAUGAAACUGUUUUUUCUUUCUUAAAAAAAUCUGUUAAUACCAAUUUAGUAUAUUGUUUCAUAUUUAAUUUAUAAAGCACAUCUAUUUUAAUAUAAUAUAGACUUUAAUUCUAAAAUUCAUAAAAUAGCAUAGAAUUUUUAUUUUCUGUUGUGUGUGAUAAAUUUCAAUUAUCAUUAUUUUAAUAAGAUUACAUUACUAAUUACGAAAUUAUAAUGCACUAUUUUUAAAAAGAAUAACAAAACGUUUGGUAGGAUUUUGUUAGAUUUUUUCUCAACAGAUUUUGUUAUAACAAAAAAUAAAAUUCCAAUUUCUAACUAAAAUUGAUUUAUUAUUAAUAUAUUUAUUGAUUAUUAAAAUUUAGUGUAAAUAAUUAAAUAUGUCACAUUAAGUAGUUAAUCAGAUGGUCCUACUAUAACUUGUCAAUGGUAGAUAAAAUACGAGACUCUAAAUUAAUUGAGUAGAUUCUGUAUAGUUGCAAAUACAUAGAGGUGAAAUUUCUAUGAAUAUUAUUUUUCGCUGAUCUACAGGGACACAUAAAGUUUUACAACAAAGUAUAAAUUGUAUUUUCCAACCGAUCUAUAAAUAGAUGGAGAUAAUAUAAAUAUAUAGUUAUUAUUUCGUUUUUAAGAAAAUCUUAUUUUAUUUUACAGUUUCAUAUUAAAAAAGUAUUAAAGAGAAAUUAUUGGAAAAAACAAAUAUAUAUAUAUAUAUAUUUAUUUAUUUAUUUAUUUUCCGUUCUACACACGAGGUGGUGGCCCUUUUAUUGGUGGUAGUGGUGGACCGCAUAUAUUAUUGUAGCAGUGGCAAUAGUGUUUAUUGUCCUUAACAGCACACGUACCAAAGUAAAAUCCAGUUUUUGGGCCUGACUCCUUGCAAAGACGCAAACAUUCAGCAUCACGGUUUGGUUUAUGACACAUAUCCGGCGGUGCAUUUUCGAGUGGAAUUCCACGACAACGGCGCUCGAAAUCCUUAGCAGCAUUAGCAUUUAUUUUUUCUGUUGAAAUAGUGACUUUAAGUGAGAAUAGAAGUUGACAAAAAAAAAAAGAGAAUACAUAAAAUUUUAUAAAUCGCAAAACCAUAAACCAUUCACAACACUUAUAUAUGUGUUAUAUAAAUUACCUGUCAAAAUUAACAAAGGUAUCAUAAGAAUAAUAGAGAAGGAAACUACUUUUUCUCUUUUAUACAUGCUUUUUUUCUCUUCGUUUAUGAUUUUUUUUUAAUUAAUUGAAUGUUCUAUGUACCUCAUUGUCAAAUUAAGGUAUAUAGAGUGUUUUCAAUUCUUAAAAUAGGAAUAAGUAAAAACGGCAAACAAGGAGAAAAACUGAAAUUUAAUGAAUACCACAUAACUGAAGUAAACCUUUAAUAUCGUAUUCACUAAAAUUGGGUUAUGGCUUAUAAGUCUACGGCUGAUUCAACCAUAACUUUUGGAAACUUUGCUAAAAAAAAAAGAUAACUUAUCCCCCUAUAUAUUAAUAGAGAAUCAUUUAAAAAGUUAUAACCUUUAGUUUGUAUUAAUUAAAAAAGUAUCAUGCUGAGUUGUCACGUAAGUAAAAUGUUAAUUUUGCUAACGUGGUGGCUUGAGAAUCAAUAGAGAAUUUUGUUAGUCCAAAAUUAAAUUGCUAGGGAAUCCCCUAUAUAUUAAUCUUGGAGCAUUACAACAUAUUUUCGUAGCCACGUGUCAUCACGAGAAUAAUUCUUAGAAUUGUUAGAAAAAUAAGUUGGUCCAUAUAAACAUAUACUAUGAUUUUUAUUAAAAUAACUAUCAAAUUAAUUAGUAGUGUACAAAAGAAUAUUUUUUCUUUCUUUAAAUAAAAUCUACAUAAUAACCUAAUAUGGUUAACAUAUAUAUGAUAAUUAAUUAUUAUGAAAAAUACAUAUUUGACAACAAUUUUUCUAACCCCUCUCUUUUCUGUUUAAUUUUAUACUAUUAAAAGAAAUUAAACAAUCACGUUAAGCACAAAAUUAAAAAAUUUAGAUUUUUUCUUAUAGGUUAUAUUUCGAAUUUUUAAAAAUGACUAUACAAUAUUAAAAAUGGUAAAAGUCCCACAUUGAAAAUUUUGUGAUCAAUGGUUUAACUUUUAUAUUGUUCAAGCAAGAUACAAAUGAUGAUCAUAUAUCGUAGGGGUUGGCGUUCGGUUACACGUUUGGGUUCGUAUCUGGUAUUUUAGUAUAAAAGCAUAAAGCCCAUUCGGAUAUUUCUACACUUCGAGUCGGGUUCAUGUAUUUAAUGUUCAGGUUUGGUAAUUUUGGGCCGGGUUUGGAUAUUUAAAUUUUGAAGAAAAAAUAAAUAAAUUGUUUAAGUUUUUUUGUAUAUAAAAUAUUUUAACUUGUUUUCUAAUUUUUAAAAAUUUAAACUAUUAAUAGGUCUAGAGAUAAAACUUUUAAAAUAAAAAGACACUAAUUUCGUUGUUGGUUUGAAAUUUUAGAUGCAAAUUUUAUUAAUGCAAGAAACAAGAGCUUGAUAUAUAUUUUAAUUGAGUAGCAAAUAAUUUUGUCCAUAAUUAUAUGUAUAUUAUCUAAUUUUUAGAAAUAAGCAUCAUUAAUAUAAAUAUUUUGAAUAAAAUGAGAGAAGUAAGCUAGAAAUAUAGGGUUAAGUAUACUUAUGUUUGGUUAUCUUCAGAUAUCCAUUCGGAUUUGGAUAUUACCCGUAUGGAUUCAAAUAUUACCCGAACUAGUUAAAUAAGUAAUUUUUUUUGUUGUUCUAGAAUUAGAUGAUAUUUAGACCGAGUUGGUGAAUAUAUACUAGACAGACAUUUAUAUUUCGAGUCCGCAUUUAUAUAUUCUAUAACAGCUUGAUAUAUUACACUACAAGAAAAAAUGACCUUACCGACUACAGUAUUAGGUAAUAUUAGUUAAAGAUAGUCCACUAUAUCUCUCUUCUACCAAAGAUACUAGCAUUAUUAAAAAUAAAUUAUUCAACUCUUAUUUAUCAAUGGAUACACAUUAUUAUUUCAUAGGAAUGAGAAAUGUAUAAAACUUCUUGAGUGUUCCUCAACUAGUUUGCCUAUUGAACCUAGCCAUGGGAUCUCCAAUGUUGCUAGGUUAGGUUUCCAUCAAGUGAUGACUCAUUGUGUUGGCUUGAGACCCAUUCCCCUCGAAAUGAAUACAACUUGCUUUUUAGGUAGACCUUUAGUCAAAGGAUCAACUAAUUUUUCCUUUGAUCUAAUGUAAUCCAAUGCUAUCACCCCAUUAGAAAGCAAUUGUCAUGCAUGAGUACGUUUUAUACGUCUUGACUUGCCAUUGUAACUUUUUCUUUCUCGUAAUGAAAUUGAGUAAGUGAAUAUCAUACCAUCUGACUCUUGUUUAACUCUAAUUCCAAGAACUAUAACAGCCAAUCUCAUAUCUUUCAUGAAUAAUGACUUAGAAUUUCUUCCACUUGUUUCACCAUAAAGUUUAAGAACUUUUGCACAGUCAACGUCUUAACGCUUGCAACUUCAGACUUGUAUUUCUUCUUUAAUGAUUCCCACAACUGAUUUGAAGUUUGGAAUAUAUGAUAAACAUCAUAGAGAGAAUCGUUCAAAGUGUUAAGAAUAUAGUUUGUGCACAAAAACUCUUUUUGUGUCCAUAUCUCUGAUGAUUUAAAUAUUUCAUCAGGAAUAUCAUCUUCUACAGGUGACUCUGGUCCUUCAAAAGUCAAACACUGUCCAAGAUUCAGUGUAGUGAGAUAACACAACAUCUUCUGUUGCCAUCUUUUGAAAUUCACUCUUUGGAAUACAAAAGGGUUCUCUAUAUGACUUUUCACAAUUGCAUUAUGAUUGAUCCAUCUUGCUUUCUUUGAAAAGAACAAGGAAAAAAAUAUAUCUUAGAUUGUUAUUCCAAAGUACAAAUGCAAAUCAAUCAUACGUAUGCUUCACACUUGUAGAUCAUUUAUAAACCCUUAUAAAUAUUACUAGAUUUCUAAACCAUUGUAAAUAGUUACAGGAUAUUUAUCUUUCUCCCAUUAUCAUUUCACUGAUUGUAGUUUGAUAGAGGCUUGCUUGCGCAAUCUUGUAAGACAGAAUUUCGCCCCUACAAUGGUGUGGUGUAGUUUCAUAGGCGUCUAUCUUGAGGUUACAGCUAUCAAUUUCCGUACAACACACACAUACCGAGAUCCUAGCAAACUAUGUAAAGUGGGCCUCAACUUUAAUACUUCAAGCCCUUUCCCAGCCCAGCAAUGAAACCUGCACAAAACCAAAGGAACGUUAGUUUCCUUUUGUCAAGAAUGUCGGCCAAUAUUUUUCCAAAGACAAUAGGAAAAUAUACAAAGCUACAGAGGACAAUGAAUACGUGAUCCAGUAUAUAAGAAGGCCAUAGGUGAAGGUUACGAUCAUCCGAUACAAAGCAAAUAACAAAGGCAUAGAGAGAGAUCAAGAGCAUAGCAAAUAAGUUCUUAGAGUUCUUAGUUUGGUUAUCACACUUGUGAUCUCUAUUAUUGUUAUUGUGAAACUUCUUUAAGAUAUUAAAUAAGAAUACGUUUGAUUCAUAAAGUUAUUCCAAAGCACAAGUAGGAUUGAAUUCCUAACAAGUGGUAUCAGAGCAAUCCAGGUUAGAUUGCAGGUGCUUAAGGGAUGGGAAAAACUAGGAUCGAAAUUGAUAGGUUCGAAGGAACCGGAGAUUUCUCGCUGUGGAAAGUUCGUAUGAUGGCUCACUUUGGAGUCCUAGGGCUAAAGGACAUUCUAACUGAUGAGACCCUUCUGUUGGAUCCGCCAAAAGAGGAAGCAGAAGGAGAUACGAAAGUCACAGGAGAUGGAACUACAGAAUCAAGCUCAAAGAUUGAUCCCGCUAAACUUGAAAAGUCGGAGAAGGCCAAAGACCUCAUCAUAGUCAACGUAGGUAACCAAGUUCUACGGAAGAUCAGCCAUUGUGAAACCGCUGCUGCUAUGUGGACCGCAUUAAACACGCUGUACACAGAAACCUCUUUGCCGAAUCGUAUCUACUUACAACAUAAGUUCUACACGUUCAAGAUGAAUGAUUCUAAGGACAUAGAUGCAAACGUUGAUGAUUUUCUAAAGUUAGUAGCAGACCUAAGUAACUUGAACGUGGAUGUCUCAGAAGAAGUUCAAGCUAUCCUGUUACUAAACUCAAUGCCGCGUAUGUAUGAUCAUCUUAAGGAAACUCUCAAAUAUGGCAGAGAUACUCUCAAGAUCAAUGAAGUAACAGGUGCCGCAAGGUCAAAGGAACGAGAGUUACUUGAAAGUGGAAAGCUUUCAAAAUCACAAGAUGAAGGACUAUACGUGGAAGACAGGGGAAGAUCAUCUAAUAAAGGAGGAAACCGAAACGGUAAAGGCAGAUCUAAAAGCAGGCACGGGCGAUCUAAAUCAAAGCCAAGAUACGAUAAGAACAACAAAGGAUGCUGGACAUGCGGGAAGGAAGGACAUUGGAAGCGGGAAUGUCCUGAAAAGAAAACGCAUAGAGCUGCUAAUGUAGCUGAAGAGCCUAAGCAGCCUUUUGUACUAACAGUUAGUACACACGACGCCGGUUCAGAAUGGGUCAUGGAUUCUGGUUGUUCUUUCCAUAUGACACCCAACAAAGACGUUCUAUUUGACCUUGUCGAAUUUCAAAGAGGCAAAGUUUUGAUGGCAAACAACACUCACUGCGACGUCAAAGGGAUUGGCAAGAUAAGGAUCGUGAGACCCGACGGAACCGUGGUUAUUCUUACAGAUGUAAGAUAUAUGCCUAAUAUGAGCAGGAAUCUAAUAUCCUACGGGAUGCUAGAACGAGCAGGUUGCAAAUACGAAGGAGAAAACUUCAUGAUACGUUUCUUCAAAGAUGGGAAAGAGAUUUUAUCCGGUAAGUACCAUGAAGGAUUGUAUUACUUGCAAGGAACAGUUAUGAAAGGGGAGGCUAAUGUGACACGAGCAGACGUGGACAUGACGAAGAUUUGGUACUCCCGGCUAGGGCACAUGAGUUUAAAGAACUUAAAUGUGCUUGUAAAGGAAGGAUACCUGUCUAACAAAGAAGUCGAUAAAUUGGAGUUCUGUGAGACUUGCGUUCUGGGAAAGUCUCACAAGCAAAGCUUCUCUGCGGCCAAGCACACUUAGAAAGAGGUCUUGGAAUACAUACACUCUGAUUUAUGGGGUGCACCGUCUACUCCGGAUAGUCUAGGAGGGUGCAAGUAUUUUAUAAGCUUCAUAGAUGACUAUUCUCGUAAGGUUUGGAUUUACUUCCUAAAAUCCAAAGAUGAGGCGUUUAGCAAGUUUAAAGAAUGGAAGGAAGCCGUGGAAAAUCAGAUCGGGAAGAAAAUCAAGUGUCUUAGAACGGAUAAUGGAUUAGAGUUUUGCAAUAAACAGUUUGACAAACUUUGCAAAGACUCAGGUAUCAAAAGGCACAAGACUUGUCAUUACACACCGCAACAAAACGGUGUGUCUGAAAGGAUGAAUAGGACGAUCAUGGAAAAAGUUAGGUGUAUGCUUGCAGAAGCAGGAUUGGGUCAAGACUUCUGGGCAGAAGCUGCAUCAACGGCUGUCAACAUUAUAAAUCGAUCCCCUAGCUCAGCCAUAGACUACAGACUUCCUGAAGAGAUGUGGACAGGAAAGAAACCUGAGUUGAACCAUCUGAGGCUAUUUGGCUGCUCAGCGUAUGUCCACACGAUCCAAGAGAAAACAAGUCCAAGAGCGUUAAAAGGCAUUUUCAUGGGAUAUCCAUUUGGAGUUAAAGGAUACCGUGUUUGGUUACCCGAGGAAGGCAAAUGCGUUACAAGUAGGAACGUGGUGUUUAAUGAAGAAGAUUUACCUAAACACUCGGAAACUAAAGAGGAACAGAAAGAAAGUAAGAAAGAGAUCAGAAGAGUUACUUUCAGAGAACCUCUAAUCGAAGGGCCUAGUUCCGCAGAUGUAGAUAAGUCACCUGUUCAAGGUGGAGUUUCUGAAACUGAAGAAUCAGAAAAUUCAGAAGAAACCAGUUCUGAAGAAGUAGAUGAAAACACAGAAGUAGAAGAAACCGAAAUCGAAAGAUAUAUGCUCGCACGAGACAGAGUGCGAAGACAAAUCAGACCUCCUUCUAGGUAUGAAGAUACUGAUUUCGCAGCUUAUGCUUUAGCCGCAUCUGAAGAGAUAGAAAUCGACGAGCCAAAGUCAUUUAAAGAAGCUAUGAUGAGCAAGAAAAGCAAGUUUUGGAAGAACGCUGCCGGAGAUGAGAUGGACUCUCUUCAAAGAGCUGGCACAUGGAUACUGAUUGAAAAACCCGAGAAUGCAAAAGUUAUAGGCAGCAAAUGGAUCUUCAAGUUAAAGCCUGGAAUACCCGGAGUUGAAGAACCGAGGUAUAAAGGCAGAUUGGUGGCUCAGGGAUUUUCUCAAAAGGAGGGGAUCGACUACAAUGAAGUGUUUUCACCUGUAGUGAAGCAUGUGUCGAUCAGAUUGAUGUUAUCUCUCGUGGUUAAUAAAGAUUAUGAGCUAGAGCAGAUGGACGUUAAAACAGCUUUUCUUCAUGGAGAUUUGGAAGAAAGAAUCUUAAUGAAUCAGCCAGAAGGAUUCAUAAAGAAAGGAGAUGAAAAUAAAGUCUGUUUACUAAAGAAGUCUUUGUAUGGAUUGAAACAAUCUCCAAGGCAAUGGAAUCUCAAGUUUGAUUGUUUCAUGAAGAGCCAGCGGUUUGUAAGAAGCAAGGAAGAUCCUUGUGUUUACAUGAGAAACGUGAACACAGAACAAGCCGUGUACUUACUUUUAUACGUCGACGACAUGCUCAUAGCUUCGGGAGAUGAACAAGAAAUCAGAAGCGUCAAAGAGAGUUUAAGCAAAGAGUUUGAGAUGAAAGAUUUGGGAAAAGCUUCAAGAAUAUUAGGAAUGGACAUCAUAAGAGACAGAAAGAAAGGAAUUUUAAAACUGUCUCAAGAGAACUAUUUAGAGAAGGUUCUGAAAUCAUUCAAUAUGACUGAAGCCAAGGCUGUGAAUACGCCUACCUCAACUCAAUUUAAACUGAAGAGUCUUACGAAAGAUCAAAAAGAAGAAGAAGGAAGCUUCAUGGCAGACAUACCAUACGCAAGCGUGGUUGGUAGUAUAAUGUACGCCAUGGUCGGUUCAACACCUGACUUAGGCUAUGCAGUUGGACUCAUUAGCCGUUUCAUGUCAGAACCGGGAAGAGAGCAUUGGCUAGCAGCAAAAUGGGUUUUACGAUAUCUUAAGGGUGCUACAAAAAGGUGUCUAACGUUUACUAAGCACUCAGAGUUUAGUAUUCAAGGAUUUUGUGACUCGGAUUAUGCUACUGACCUUGACCGAAGAAGAUCAGUUACAGGAUUCGUGUUUCAAGUUUGGGGAAACACGGUUAGCUGGAAAUCAAGUCUACAAGACGUGGUAGCUCUUUCAACGACUGAAGCAGAGUACAUGGCUCUUACUACAGCCGCGAAAGAAGCUAUAUGGUUAAGAAGGCUAUGUGGGGAGAUGGGAUUUGAACAAGAAAGUGUUAAGAUUCACUGUGAUUCACAAAGUGCUAUAGCCCUAGCAAAGAAUCAUGUUCAUCACGAAAGAACUAAACACAUAGACACUAAAUACCACUUCAUAAGAGACGUUGUAGCAGAAGGCAAGGUUCACCUAUCUAAGAUCCAUACUAGCAAGAUUCCUGCAGAUUUUCUAACUAAAGCCUUACCCGGGCCUAAGUUUGAUCUCUGCUGUGAUCUCCUCAACAUCAACGAGUAAAAACUCAAGAACGUCGCAGGUAACUCCAUUAUCGAAGAUGUCUCGCAAAAGGAAGAAAUAAUGAGUUAAUAACUCCGGAUUAUUUCUUAAGCGAUAAUGGGAAGGUUUAGGAGUAGCAAAAGAUUACCUGCAGGGACGUUGUGGAAGCGAGGCACAUGGUACUUAGCUCAAGGUGGAGAAGCUAAGGGAAAUCAAACAGAGUUAGUAAAGGAUGAUUGAAGUCGAUGAAUAAAAGUAGACUUCGGAAAAAGAUAUACCUGAGAGAACGUCUUAAACGGCUGUGGCAGCUGAAGGGAGACGAGUAUCUACAUUGGCAAAAGAGAACACAGAUCACCAGACAAGAUAAUCAUGUCUUAAACAGCUUAAAGUAAAGUAAGAGACUUUACAGAGAAGCUGAAGGGAGACAGGUUUAUUGAUAGAACGGAGGAAGCUCUAGAGAGUCGCCGGUUACGUUCUAAGGAGUAUACGUGAUGUGUUUGAUCACUGAAGUUCUAGCUGUGACAUUAAAGAGGAGGUUAAUACAUGAAACUCAAGUGAAUCUAAUUGGAGAGAGGAUCCAAGGAAGAUUAAUCAACUAUCAUCACCAAGAAGAAAUUCGAGAUUCAAAAUCAUCAAGGAAAAAGAAUUCGCGAGCUUUUUCAGAUGAAGAAUCUUACCGGGUGAUGCUUAGAUGGUGGGAGUUUUCUGAAGAUCGAGCUGAAGAUCUGGGGAAAAAUCGAUCUACCGGCAAGGAGUCGAAGCGAGAGAGAGUGGUGAGGCUGUAGCAGCGUACGAGCUACACCGAUUCAUCGGAAAAAUGACAGGAGAAGUCACCGGUGUGUGACGCCAUCAACGUCGCGAGAUUUGUCGGGAGAAGGAGUAGAAAUUUUUUUUGGUCUUCUGGUUUCUUCGAUGGAAUCGAAGAGGAAGACAAGGAAGAAUUAAAAUUGGGCCAGGUGGAGUUUGUAAAGUGGGCCUCAACUUUAAUACUUCAAGCCCUUUCCCAGCCCAGCAAUGAAACCUGCACAAAACCAAAGGAACGUUAGUUUCCUUUUGUCAAGAAUGUCGGCCAAUAUUUUCCCAAAAACAAUAGGAAAAUAUACAAAGCUACAGAGGACAAGGAAUACGUGAUCCAGUAUAUAAGAAGGCCAUAGGUGAAGGUUACGAUCAUCCGAUACAAAGCAAAUAACAAAGGCAUAGAGAGAGAUCAAGAGCAUAGCAAAUAAGUUCUUAGAGUUCUUAGUUUGGUUAUCACACUUGUGAUCUCUAUUAUUGUUAUUGUGAAACUUCUUUAAGAUAUUAAAUAAGAAUACGUUUGAUUCAUAAAGUUAUUCCAAAGCACAAGUAGGAUUGAAUUCCUAAGAAACUAUACUCUGAAUUUUUCUUCAGAAACUUGUUAUGGGGAAGAAGAAGAAGAUUAAAUCCAAUUGAAUAAUCUUCUCUCUUCUCUCUUCUUAUUCCUUUCCUCUCGUAUUGCAUUUGAUCCCUUUAUAUAUUGACUCAAGUGGUGCCUUUAGUCAACCCAUGCCCUAACUCAAGCGGUGCCUUUUAAUCAAGGCAUAUGUUGAUUCAUAACAUACAUGUUUUGUCUGAAGCGUUAGGUUCCUUUAAUUAAUUAAAGUCCAACAGUAGAUAGAUCAGCUUUGUUACCAACCAAACCAUAACAAUAUCUUGAGCUCCCUGCUUUUGCAGUUCCUAUUAGAUUUAAAUGGUAAAAUCCAAUGAUUCAGUCAUUUAAAUCAUAUGGGUCCAAGAAAUCACAUAGUUUUAUACUCUGAUACGGUUAUAUAGUUCAGAAGCUAUUGCUUGAAUUCCCAAAACCAUUUAGGAAACGGAGCCACUUGAAAACAUAUCUUAACCAAAUACUGAGCUUUCUUAAAAGAUUCAGGGCUUGUUAUAUCAUACACAAUGACAGCAACUGCAGCUCCACGGUAAUAUAAUGGCGCAAGUGCAGAGUACCUGAGAAAUCUAGUUAACGCAUAUUUAGCUUUAACGCGAGCAUGCAAGGCGUUGAUUUAAUUAACUAACACAAAUCUACAUAUAUUUGGUAAUAAUAUAUUUCAAAGUGUUUGAUAAAAUAAUAAAUUUAAUUGACAUUAUAUCAUUCUCGUAGUUUGGAUCAGCAUCUCAGCUUACGUCUGAAUAAAAAUCAACUUCUGGAACAUAUAAUGGAGCAAAAGAAUUGUCCAUAGCAGAUAAAGGGCAAGUCCAUCUCUCCCUGAUCAUGCUUAUAUAACAACAACAUAAUUGACAUUUUAUACAUAUUAAUUCAAAUUUUCAAUUGAAUAUACUGUUCUCAUUGAGUUUCCACUUCCUCUCUUUUUUCGUAUCAGUUUAAAAGUUUUUUUUUCGUUUAACUAUUGUCAUCAAAAUAAAAAUCAAAAAUGUCUUAGACAACUUAAAAAGAUGAUGAAGAAGAAAAGAGGUUAUCUCUAAUCUCAUAGGUAAAAUGGAAUAUCAAGUCCAAAUAAACCACAAACGGUUUCACAUUCCGGAUGCUUUUAUCACCAAUAAGCGAGUCCAAAACAUAUAUGGUCCAUAACUUCAUAUGAACAAUAACAAUAGAGACUAUAGAGUGGAUCCCAAAGUGAUCUGGACAUGGACGUAUGUGUACACUGUCUCAACAUCUCUUAACAUUUAAUUUUCAUAAUGAUUUCCAACUAUUGACAAAAUGAAAACCAUUAAAACCUUUGCCUUUUAAAAAAAAACAUGUCUUAUAUAAUUUAUAUAUAUAUAUAUAUAUAUAGAGCUAGAUGAUAAGAUAUAUUUAAAUAAAUAAUCAUUAGAUAUAAUAUAAUAUAAUUAAAAUUAUUUUUAAAUAAAAUGCAGUUUUAACUUUAUUAAAGUCUAAAUAAAAUCAAACUAGAAUAGUUAAACCAAAUCAAAAUAAAUAAGACUAGCAAACGUUUAUGAUUUUUUUUUCAAACCGUUGAAAUUAAAAUAUAAAAAAUAAUGUUCAAAUAUAAAUUUAAUUUUUCUUUUCAAAUAUUGAAAUUUAUAUUUAAAAUUAUUAUUUAUGUGCAUGAUGCAUGAAAACUCAUGGUUUAUUAUAAGCAUAAAAACAUAACUUAUUUGUUUUUAAGUGUUUCCUUACAUCUUAUUUUUCAGUCUUCCUAACUACUUCAUUAAUUUUUUUAAUAUAAUAAUUCGACAUUAUUUGUAACAAUUUCACAGAUUUUUGUGAAAUUGCUUCAUUUGUAACAAAAAAAUCUAAACCGGUUAACAUAAAAAAAUUUAUAUAUAUUUACAGAGUCAGUUAAACAUGGCAUUCAAGUAUCCAUUUGAGUAUGUAUCGUUUGUUGGAUAUUAGAUUUUUUGGAUUUUAAAAUUAAACUCCAUUCGGACAUUAUAAAUUGUCGGAUGGGAUUCGAGUCGGAUUCUUCUGGAUCGGAAAAAAUUCGUACGAACCUAAAAAUAUCCAAAUAACUUAUAUGUUUAAAAAUGUCAUUAAAUAAUUUAGAAAAAAAAUACUAAAAAUCAUAACCCAUGCGGGUGUGCAAAUAUGUUAUUACAUAUGGGAUAGUCCAUAUCAUUGCUUCAUUUGAAUUCGCUUCCAGUUUCCACUUUCCAGGAUUCAUAUGUUCUCGACCUCAAAUGUUUGAUAUAAUAUACAUGUCACUUAAACAGAGCGAAAGAUCGCUUAAACAUUACAAAAAGUCCUCUCUAAAAUAGCAGUACAUAAAAGUAUGGAAAAGAUUAGUCAGGAAAAGAUAAAAAAGAUUAGUCAGGAAAAGGGUAAUGCUUUACUUUGAAGGUAAUCCAAACGCUCCAAUCUUGACAAAAGAGAAGAGGUAGCAUCUUUGCCAAUUUCAUAUAUUCAGACAAGAAUAAUAACAAACUGAGUAGAGGAAGCCAUGGCUGCUGAGAUGAACACAAGUAAAUAAAUCAUAGGAAUGGUUACCUGUCUUUGUGAAUUUGAAAUAAAAUUAAUUCUUGAUUAUAUUGCAUAGAAGAGGUGAGAUUAUUCAUUGACUAUAUAUAGUCUUGUUUGAAAGAACAUGUAAAUGGACAGGCACGGUCCUCAUUCUUAAUUCUUUAUGAUAUUUUGCAGAUAGAAGAGUGAGCAAAAAUGACAACAUUUUUAUUGACUAAUGUUUUUCAAAGAGCAACAUGAAAGCAGAAACGAAAAUGUAAACGGUCUAACACACAUAACCUGGUCCUCACAUGAUUUGCGCAGAAGUUGGAACAUAAGAGGCCACAAAUGGCUCAAGCUGUAUGUAUAUACAUUUUCUAAGAUCCUUUUUUUGCGAUCAAUAGCAAUCUGAUGGAUAAAGAGAUCUUUGGUGUCGUCUCAGAUAUCAAAAGUCUCUCAGAUUUGUUUAUCUCUAUCUCCUACUCUCAAUCUGAUAACUGGGAUGCCGAUCGGUUGGCGAAGAAGGUCCUGCGCGAUCCUACCUCUGCUUCUAUUUUUAUUAGGAACCGGGCCUCAGAUUCUAAUAUAGGCUUUGUAAUAGGCUAAACCCUUUUUAAGUUUUAAUGAAAUUAAGUUGAUAAAAAAAAAACCAUUAUCUCCAACGAUGCAAGUUCUAAACAUUCUCUUGCGUCCACCAAAAAGCACAACCAUGUUCUCCUCCUCCACAAUGUAGAAACUACCAGAACCGAUAUACUUACCUACUGAAUUCAUAUCAACCUUGAGGAAGUUUGUCCAAAAAACAGCAUCUGGCUCAAUUUUAUUGGUAACCAAAACCUCCAUCUUAUACGUAUCGGACCGGUUUACUAACAGCCCAAGCUGCUCUUCUCUAACCGUAGACAGAGACACACCAUGCACAAUACUAGGGUCAACUGGCAGAGGCAGACGCGGUCCAAACCUCUCUCUUUUAAAAUCAAAACACCAUAAGAAACCAUGUGAUUCCUGAUCUCUAGCAUACGAGUAAUAAUCUCCCUUCAAAGACACACCAAAGAUACCUAAAACACACCAAAGCUAUCUAAAGUCUCAUCAGGAACAUCAGUUACCCUCCAUGAGUUUGAGUUAGAAUCGUAUAUUACGAAUUAUCGUAUUGAUUAUAAGUAUAGCAAAACAUCAAGAUUUUGAAGCUACCACAAGAGGAAUUGUCGUAUCCAAACGCAAUCUGAUCUUCUUCAAAUCGGCCACUAGGCCACUUGAUCCAUCUUCUUUUACACAAAUACGGAUUCCAAACCACAAACAUAUUGCGUAUGUCUCUCAAUACACAUAGUAUUAAACCAUUGCACUGAUAGAUCCUUAUAGAUAUUACUUCACCUGAAUUUUCUCGAGUGAUAAGUGUACGCUUUGCUUCACGGAUAGAUCAAACUUGUUGACGUGAGUUUUGUAAAGGUUGACGUUGAUCAAAUAAACCCUAUGAUCUCUCGUGAUCAUAAGAAACUCUUUUCCCCUUGAUGUUUUGCUUAUGUGUUUAUCUCUAAAGCUCUAUCUUUGGAUAAAGCGUUCUACUUUUUGCAAGUAGAUCGUACUGCUCCUAUAGAUUUCAGUGGAACCCUAGAAAGAAUCUCCUCCACCAAAUCAAUUGGAAGUUUUGAUAUCAUCAUGUCGUUGUUUCAACUAACUUCAGGAUCAAUGUUCACACCGAUAAGAACUAGGUUAACCUUCAAAACUAUUUUGUGGUUGGUGAGUUCACGAGAGAGAGAAGCUGUCGAUAGAUUGACAUUGAAGAGUAAACACAGAAACCCUAACUUUAAGGUUUAAAACGGUGGAGCAUCAGUCACGUUUUGUAAUUUAUUGUUACUGGGCCAUUCUUUUUAUAAGCCCAUUAUAGAUGUCACAGAGUUAAGACCCAGUUUUUGUAACAUUGUAUCAUCUUAGCUUCUCCUCUUAUGUAACCACAUAAUAUCAUUAACUAGGAACGGCCCGCCCUACGGGCGGAAUGUAAAUUAACAAAUAAUUUAAAUAGUUAAAAUAAAUAUUUAAUAUAAAUUGUUAUUAUUUUAAAAUAGGGUUCCUUAUAAAUUGUUAUUAUUUAAUAUAAAUCGUUUUAUUUUUCAAAAUAAAUAUUACUUGCUUUCAAAGUAUUGUUUCACUUAUGAUCUCUUUGUUUGUUGCUGAACUAUUUUAUAUCGUGUCUUUGUUAGAAAUGCAAAAACAUAUUUUAUUCCUCAAAUCACAACUUGUACUUCUUUCUAAAAUCUUAAUCAUCAUCAUUAUUACCGAAAAAUCCAAAAUCUUCUGCAUCUACUUAGGCCAAACUAUCUCGUAAACUUGGGAUUUAUUUGCAUGUUAUAUUCAUAUGUCAGAGUUCAUAAUGUGAAAAAGCCAGCUUAAUUGCUUAAAUCAUAUGAUCGAACCAUCUUUUGCAUCUCUUUUGAGAAGAUUACUCAUAAAAGAAAAAAACAAAAAUACUAAUUAAAAUAUAUGUAUCAUAGCUUGAGGACAUGAAACGUUAUGAAUUUAUCAUAGGUGAAAAGGUUGGAAAGUCAUGCGUGGUUCAAACAGGAUUUGUAAAUAAAAAGAAAAAAAAAAGAAGAAAAUUGCAGAUUUAAAGGCCUAGCUCUUGCAGCUCCACAUCAUAAAAUGCUUAAGGACCUUGACUCAGGAUUAGCUCAGAUCAUACCAGCGUAGCCCACUGUAUAGGAAAAGACUGCUUUGAUACUAUCAAGCAAUAUCUCAUGUCCUUGGUAUUGCUGAUAUUCACAAACAACGAAAUAUGGAACUACAAAAUUCUUGUAAGAAUCCCAACUGUUUUAAGUGAAAGGUAAAUAAUGUUAUUGUUCUCAAUUCAGCGCACGGAAAACAUGGACAGCAAACCCGUCGAAACAGCUAAUCACCGCUUGAUGACAUCCAAAUCCAAGUUUAUCUAAGGCUUUCCUGGUUGCUAGCAAAAGACCAGGUCUACGACAACAAAUCAUGCGAGUGUUCACUGCACUUAGUCUAACCUCAACCUGUGAAUAACAGAAACGCAUACUAAAUGUCUUAAACUAUGAAAGGAAAUUCUCCUAUGAAGCUUUGUUUACGCCUUGACACGGAAAGAAAGAGUAUGAGUUGUAGGUGUUAAUGGAUGGAAGUGGAAGCUUGGGAAGUUGGAGGCGAAGAUCCAAGUCGAGUUGACUCAAGUUUGUUGUGAAGUUUAUUGAUCCUCUGUAAUCGUUUGUUGAGACAACAAUUUGAAUCUUCAAGUAUUGAUGCUCUAUCUAUUUAUAAAUGGCAUCCAAAUCCACUACAUACGCUAUAGUUUAUAGCUCAAUAAAAGCAACACAAAUAUAUCCAACUUAACAGUGAUAAGUAAAUGAUAAGACAGUCAUUACGCAAAUAGAGAAGCAAUUGUUUACUUCGCCUCUUCCUCCUCAUCUGAGCCAUCAGAUUUUUUAUAGGGAUUCCCUUCUUCUUACAUUUCCUACUCCAUUUUGAACACUCUUAGUCCCUUACUGCUUUCGUUCAACUUCUCCGACAGACUUGUAAUUCCACCCUGAAACCUUGAUCCCAGUCUCAUCCAUCUAUGCAAAUCAAUAUGAAGUUUAAAAAUAUGAUAAUCUAUUCCAAUUUUCAAAAACUCACAACUCAAACAAAAAAAUGAAUAUGAAAGCAUACACUACCAAGUUUGAGGAGCUCUGUUUCUAGAGCACAAUCAUUGGAGUUUGAUAAGAUUUAUAGGAAACUACUCAAGUACCCCUCUGAAUUUUCUUCUUGCUUGAGUCAACGAUAAUCUAAUUUGUUAGAUCAGUAAUGCUUGUCAUUCUGAUUCUAUUUCACAGGAAUUUGACAAUUUUUUUCAUCAACGUGUAAAUAAAAUAAAAAGGUUACCUUGGCUGUGCUUCUCAUGUCUAUUCCGAACCACCAACCUGGUUUGAAAGAUCGUAGAAACCCCACAUUAAAAAGUAAAAAUAAACAGAACACAUAACACUUUCUUUGUUGUUCAAGAUGCAAUUAUCAAACAACAAACCCGUGAGAAUGACAAAAACAUUGUCUUUUAAAUCAAACUGCAGAAAGAGAGAUGAGGAAGAAAAAGUUACUGAUAGUUUGAGUACAAAAGCCAAGAAAUAACAAAACUAAUUCAUGAAAGGAGUAUGGCAAAAUAAUCAUACAGAAAUGUUACCAAGGAAAUUUUUUUUGUUGGAGGAGCUUUUGAGCAGGGUUUAGUUUGACGAACUUGUUUUCCUGUCAAAGAACAAUAGAUUUUGGUUAAGAACAUGUUUUAAAAAGUGUGAUGAAACAAAUAGGCAUACGAAUUAUUUUGUUUCUCAAUUCCCAAAUUACAAAAAAAAAAAAAAUUGGUGGAUAAGAAAAAAAUAAAGAGCUCGAGGUCUCUUACUCUGACUGGUUUCAAUCUGAAAGGAGCAGGACGAUGUGCGUGGAAAUCUCUCAUCUUGUACAUUUAUACUACAUAAAAUGAAACAAAGAUUCAACCUUUGGAUUUCUAAAAUUAUUAAAAUUAACCGGAUCAAUAGUCAUUACUCACUAACAGGCGAAAUUUGCAGGAAACAACAACAGACGAAAUAAAAUAUUAGAUUAGAAUGAUGGUUCUACAGAAGAACAGACGGAAAAAAUGAAGCAUAAAACACUCACGUUGACGUCGAUCAUGAGCUCCCCACCACGCUUGAAAUUCCUAACCUCCCAGAAACUCAGCAGCCUCGCCUCGACAACAGAAGAACACCUCCCGGAUUUCAAUCGGAAAAAAAAAACUUUCGAGUAAGUCAUUAAGAAAUAUGAGCAAUAAGAGAUGAACAUAUGAGGAAGAAGGAUAACAGAGAGAUUUUGAGAGCCCGUUUAGCAGAAGCGAGAUACAUACAUAUUUAUAGAUGGGAUCGCCGACGAAAAAGCUCAACCGAAGAUAUCGUAGUGAGCGUCUGAUUGAAUGGGAUUAAAGACAGCAGGAUUAAAGGCCAAUGAAUCUCAACGUCUCCGUUACGGAUCCGAAACGUCAUCGCAUCCGCCGAUACGACCAAAGCAUAAGGGAGAAGUCAGCUGCGUCGUUCGUCGCCGUAUUAGGGUUUCAGAGCAACAUAGAAGUUUUGUUUUUUCUGGGCUAAAUACAAAACUAAACAUAGAGCCAAUUUCGAAGCCCACUCGGUCAAACGGAAAACAUUGCAUUUUAAUAAGGGGACACGUGUCGAACGGCUGGAGACAUAAUUGUUGUGCUGUCAUCCCAUGUGGAGGGCCUUAGGAGAGAUUAAAAGUGUCUUUUAUAUAUAAAGAUACUUCCUCUCUCUCUUAAAUAUAUAGUCUCAUCAGACUUCUCAAACACACAUACUAUGAACUGAGAUUAAAAAAAUUCACGUGAUCGGUUUAUUAUGACUCGUAAGAUAUAUAUGAAUAGGAUGUUCAGUGAUGAGAAACAAAGUGAAGGUGGUCUAGCUGUUUUACUCGUUUCGUUAUAAGAGUGAGAGGUGGUAGGAAAGAGAAACAUAAAAGAAACGAGGAUAUUUCAAGUAGUGUUGAGCCAAUGAUGAAUUCUCUUUAGGUAUGAGAAUUCUCUAUAGAUAGCUGCAGGGUCGACCAUGCUAGGUGAAACAUUCGCAACAGGCCCCUAAAGUUUUUGAAAACAAUUACAUACAAAUAGGUUUCAAAAAAAAAUUUUAGGCCCUAAAUUUAUAAAGAAAGUUUUUUUACAUAUACAUAGCCACAGCCCCCAAAAUCUCAGAACCUGCCCUGGAUAUCUGGCUGCUACGUUAUCUCUCACAGCUCUUAUUUGAUGAAACACAAUUAUAUAUCUAACGUGAUGAUCCCCAACGUUGCUUAAUUUGGCUUUCCACUUUCCAGGUUCAUUUACUCUCCAAUCUCAAGUCUUCACAUUAUACAACACACUUUAACAGAUUAACACCGUUUAGACAUUACAUGAAAGUAUGGAACGUUUAGUAUAGUCGGGGCAAGAGUGUUUGCAUUUCCCUUACGAUGAUCCAACAUUCCAAAUCAUGAGGAAGGAGAAGGACGAGGUAGCCUCUUGCCAAUUUCCUAUAAGAUAAGACCAAGUGCACAUAUUAAUGCAGGAUGACAAGACAUUUGGUCAAAAAACCUGUGGCCAUAAAGAAAUGCACACCUCAAACAGUUGGUUUAUGUUAUCUGCUGUCUUGGCUGACGUCUCAAUAAAGAACAUGCCAUUCUUCUCUGCAAGCUCCAUGCCAUCCUGUUAAAAGAGCUGAAAAUAUCAUACACGCUGGCUGAAGAAGAAGCAAGAACAGUGUAAGUGGUAACAAAAUGUUCUAUUGAAUCUAGGUUAAUGCAAAAACUCACAUCGGUUAGUACUUCUCUUUUUUCAUGUAGAUCAGCUUUGUUACCAACCAAAGCCAUAACAAUAUCCGGAGCUCCAUGCUUUUGCAGUUCCUGUUAUAGAUUUAAAGGGCAAAGUCCAAUGCUUCAGUCAUUCAAAUCAUAUGAGAGCACCACUUGAAAACAUACCUUAACCCAAUACUGAGCUUUCUUAAACGAUUCAGGGCUUGUUAUAUCAUACACAAUGACAGCAACUGCAGCUCCACGGUAGUAUAGUGGCGCAAGAGCAGAAUACCUAAGAUAAUUCGAGUGUAACAUGUACAUAUUAAGCUAUAACGAACACACACAAAUCUACAUGUGAGGGAGGGUUUUAACACCUCUCUUGCCCUGCUGUAUCCCAUAUUUCAAACUUCACCGUGGUAGAGUCUUGCAAGGCUAUUGUCUGGGACAAGAACGACGCUCCAACAGUCACCUGGAUAGUUUUCAGAUUCAAUGACAGAUAAGAAUAUAACUCUAAUACUCUCACUCACAUGCCACAUAGUAUUAGAAGAUAAUAAUGCUUGACUUACUUACCUUAGAUGUUGCAUCAAACUCACCACGCACAAACCGAAGGACAAUACAGCUUUUACCCACGCCAGAAUCUCCUAACAAAACUAACUGCAUUCAACUCAGUCCAAACGUUCUUAAACAAGAGCUUUAAAUUAAACACAAAGGCUCGCACCUUUACGCGUAGAUUCUUAGCAUCUGCAUUCUCUGAGCUGCUAAGACCGUUUAAGGCUCCAGAGUUCCUGUCUGAAACAACACACACACACACAUCAUCUUCAUGAAUCAGCAAAAACCCCUAAAUUAACGCAAAUGAUCCCUAAAUUUCGUGAAGAUUCUAAUUAAACCCCAAAGGUUUCGCCUUUGGUCUCGAGGGUAAGUUAUUUUCUCUCUUAUAAUCGAAGACUAAUGGGAUGAAUUCAACAAAACAGAGAAGCGUGAAAAGAAAGAAGAAAACUUGCCUGGAAGAGAAGCAGCACAUCCCAUAGCGUAUAGAGAUGCGAGAUCGUAUCCAAGUUCUGGGCGUUGAUGCCACCGAAUCGGAGAAGAAGAAGAAGGUCCGGUGAUUUUUGACUUUGCCAACCAUUUUCGAGUAAGGCUCGCUCUUUAUUUAUUUGAAGCCGUAACUAAUUUCUUAUUUUAUAUAUGAUUUUCUUUUAAAUUCAAAAUAUUUAUCUAUAUAUAAUAUAUUUUUUAAAGAGAAUAAAAGCAUCAAGUAACAAAUUUUAUUCGGUAUUCGGUUUGUACCCUGAGGUUAAAAAAAGUAAAUAUUUACUAUCAUCAAAUCAAGUAACUAAUAUUUAAUUUUAAUUAUUUCUAAAUUUUCUUAUAUAUUAAUUGAGAAGUGAUUUUUGAUGACGUAUCACUCGUACAAACAGUUUGAAAACAUUUUUUUUUAUAAUUUCAUUGGUCAAAAUUUUUAAUUUUAUUUAUUUUUAAAUAAUUCUAAAGCUAAUCCUAAAACUAACGUAAUCCUAUUGCCAAACAACUAAAAACAUUAAUCUAAAAUAUAUAUCUUCUCUAUCUCAGUUUCUAUGGUUAACAACUUACGAGAUUUGCUCACCAUACAAUCAGAUGAUGCAAUCACCAUCGACGAAAUAUGGAGGCAAGUUUUUCCAGGUAUUCUUCUUGCCUUACUUCUGCAUCUUGUAGAUUGUAGGUUUCCUUUUAAUCUAUGGCAAGUAGCAAUAAUAGGCUGCCAUGUUCAUUGAUCUCAAUCCUUCUAUUAUGUUUCUCGUACUUACACUUGUAAUUGGGUAUUUGUUAAAAGCAUAAAGGUUAAGGUUGUGCCUUUAAGCUUGGUAUUAUCUUAUAAUAACUUAAUAAGUAUCUUUUUGUAGGUUGUGCUAUUGUAUUCCAAACCAAAGCUUCAUGCAAUAUAUAACAACAAAAGGGUAGUGAGUCUCCAUGACAGUUUAUGGGGAACGUAUGAUCAAGGGUUUGAUGAAGCUGAUUUCUUCACAUGAUUAGAACCAGUUGUUUAAAUAGGGAUAUUUGGACUCCAAAGAUUUCUGUUGAGUACAGUUUACCUACAAAGAUUAAAAUGUUUACAUUUAUUUGUAUGCUUCCUUGGAUACAAAUAUCAAGUGAAGGUAACCAUGGAUCUGACAAUUUAUUACCUGAUGGUUCUUUAUAGUAGUUAUGAGCAAUUCUUAGUUUAUCUUGUUGAGUUUCAUGCCUAGAGUUGUAAUUUUGAUUUCCUAAAUUGAAAUUACAAUCCACGCUAAAUGUAUGGAUGGAAUUCUGAGUAAUGUUACUUUAUGCAUGUGUUUGCUUUAAUAUGAUAUGAGGAUUUAUAUUGGAUCUCUCGCAUCUUUUUGUAGUUAACAUAUAUGAGGAUUCAUAUAAAAGAUGUUACUGGAUGCGACUAGAUUUUAUUCUCUCGGGCUUCUAGCUCUUAGGAUUCAAGUUUGUCGAACUACAGGGCAAGAACUGGUGGUAUCCACUUCCUUCUUUUCUGCUUGAGAGUUCUCGUCACCAUUAUUAUUUUUGUUCCAGUUGUCACUGGACUUUACCGGUUUUUAUUUCUGAUUAGCCAAUGACUUAGUUGUGCAGUUUCUCGAUGAUUUUCACUGUCUUAUUAGCCAUGUGCCUAUGAUGUAGUUGAGGACAAGUUGAGCUGCAAGCAAUGAUGUAGUUAUUGCUUCAUAAUCUUUUUUAGAUUUAGAAUACAUAUACAGAAGUAAAUUCAAUUUUACAUAGGGAAAUUGAGUAAUACAAGGAUUCAUUUUAACUGCUUAAUUUAUUAAGAAAUAGUUGGUGUCAUGCGCCAUGCAUAGAAAUAAAUCUUUAAAUAUAUAUAUAAUUUCAUUUAGUUAAGUUAAUUAAAAAUAAAAAAUAAAAUCAUAAAUCAUAAUGUAUUAUAUUAAAAAAUUGAUCAAUUAUUAUUUACUUUUCGGUUUGACUUAAGAAUAUUUAAUUUUUAGUUUAGUUAAGUAUAAUUAAGUUAAACUAAACAAUUAAAUCUAUUUUAUAUUUAUAUAUUUAAAAUUAUAGUUCUGAGUAUACUCUUUUGUUUAAAUUUAUUACAUCCAUAAAUAUUGUUUAUUUUAUUUAUCUCAAUAAAUCAAUAAUUAUCACAUAAAAAUUAUUGUACACCAUUUAAAUCUAAAUAAAUUCAAUAGAUUAAAAACUCGACUAACAUCUAUAUACCUUUGGAUUCAAAUAUAACUUAAAAAUUAGUUAUUCAUUAUUUUAAAAAUUUUGAUCAAAAUUAUCAUAGUUAACUUUUAAAAAUUCUUUUAUAAUUUUAAUAAAUUUUUAUAUUUAAAGGUAUAUUAUUUUUUAAAAUGUUAAUAAUAAUUAUAAAUAUUGUUUAUGUUUAUGGUAUGUAUCAGAUGAUUUAACUAUCUUAUUUUAAGAAUCUUACCAGAAAUCAAAGUAUUUACCAUCAAAUAUAUAUAGAUGUGUGUGUCAUUAUUAAAGAGAAGUCAUGUCAUCUUUUUAACUAAAACAUGUCAUCAUUAUUUUUCAAAAUGAAUGUGGUAAUGAUACUUAAGCAAGAAAAAAAAAAUUGUCUUAUAAUGUUUAUGAGAUAUUCAGAGCGUGCUUAUACAAUUAUCUAGUUGGUUUUUUGCGACAUGCGUAGAAAUAAAUCUUUUAAAAUAAAAAACAUAUAUUAAAAUAUAAUUUCUUUUACCAUAUAAAUAUAAAUAUAUAUAUUUAUUUUUAUAUAAGACUUAGCAAUCAACAAUCAUCAUACCACAAUUAUUGUAUAACAUUUAAAUCAAUAUAAAUUCAAUAGAUUGAAAACUCAAUUAAUAAUCUAUAUAUUUUUGGAUUAAUAUAUAAUUUAAAUAUUUAAUUAUUCGUAAAAUUUUAAAUUUGGAUCAAAAUUUUCAUAGUUUAUUUGUUAAAAUUCAUUUAUAAUUAAUUUUGAUGAAAUAUAAAUAAUUAUACGAAAUUAUUUACUAUUUUUAUCAAAAGUUCAUUUUAAUAUACUUUUAUAUUUAAAGUUAUAAUAUUUUAGAAUGUUAAUAAUAAUUAUAAGUAUUUUACGUUUAUAGUACUUAGUCAGAUUUUGUAUAACUAUCUUUUUUAAAUAAUAAUCUUACAAGAAAAUCAAAGUAUUUACUUUUAAAUUUGUACAUGUCAUAAUUAGAGGGAAGUCAUGUCAUCUUUUUAACUGAGGCAUAUCAUCAUUUUUCUUUCAAAAUGAGUGUGGUAAUGACACUUAGACAAAACUUGAAAAAAAUCUUCACAAAUAAUGUUUUAAGGAAAAAAACUAGAUUUCCACCCGCACAACCGUGCGGGUAUAUAUUUUAACAUUUAUAUAUAUAUAGAUAUUUGUUUUACAUAAUUAUUAUAUAUUUUAAUAUUACUCACAUAUUCAAAUUUUUGUAUAAUUAUGCCAAAUAUAAUACUUUUAUAGUUUUUUAUGUUGUAAAUUAAAAUCAUCACAUAUAUAUAUUGCUUAUUAUAUAUUUGUCCUAUUGAAUUUGCGUUUGAUUACUAAACUAAUUUUUUUAAUGCAUGAAACAACAUAUAUGAAAACAAUUUUGUAUUUAAUUUAUUAUAAUCAUGAUCUGUAGUUCAAAUCGCUAGAUUGUUUUAGUAAUUUUUAAUGUUUAUUAAUUAAAAAAAUAAAUUGCUGUAUAUUAAAAAGUUUAAGAUAAGAUAAAUUUUUAUACAUGUAUUAUAUAGUUUACUAAUAUUAACCCGUUCUACCAACAUAUUAUAUUUUUAGCAUAAAUAUUUUAUAUUUAUGAAAAUAAAAUAUGUUAAAUUAUCAAUUUAAAAUAAUUUUAUCAUAUUUUGUUCAAUAUAACGUUUUUAUUUUAAAAUGAUGGAUAUUAUUAUAAAAUUGAUAAAAUAUGAUAUAAUUUUAUUCUUUAGUAACAUUUCAUUACUAAUUACAAAAUUAGUUGAAAAUAUUUAUAUCCCAUUUAUGACAAUUAAUAUCUUAUUAUAAUCUUUUUCAAGAGAUUUGUUAGAAUUUUAAAUUUUUUUAAAAAAUUAAAAGAUAUAAAAGAUAUUAUGAUUAAAGUAGUUAAAAAUAUUAUAUAUAUUAGCAUUAGUGAUAUACAUUUAAUAGAAAAUUUAAAUGAUAGUCCAAAUAAAAAUAUCACUCAUAAAAAAAUCAUGAUUUUUAUUUUAUUAGAAAAAAAUAAAAUAGAAAUAAAUAUUUAUUUCUGACAAAAUCUUUAAAAAUUAUUAGUAAAUGUAUUUUUGAAAUUAAUUAAUUUCACUUUAUUUAAAUUUUCGUUUAUAAACCAAAACUAUAUUCAAUUUUUAUUUCUAAUUAUAAUUUAUGAUAAUUUAAUUUAAAACUAACUAAUUUUCGAAAGUAAAUUUAAAAAGAUUCUAAGAAGAUUUUAAAAAGAUUUUGUUAGAACAUUUUAAAUAUAUUUAUUUGUAUUUCAAAUAAAAAGAUAAAGAUAUUAAAAGAUAUAAUAAUGAACUUAUGUAAAAUAUGAUAUUUUUUAGGAAUGGUCUAAACUAAAAAAAUCACACAUGAAAAGAAGUCAUGACUUCUGUUUUAAUAUAUUAGAUAAUAAUGUUUAGGGAUGUUAACCCGUUAUUGCUUCAUACUUGUUUUUGGAUUAAAAAAAAUACAGAAAUUUAAUCUUCAUAAAAAUAAAAAAAAAAUAAACUAAAAUACAAAAGAGAAGAAAAAUAUUUGUUAACUCAUUAAAGUCGUGAAAUAAGGACAAUAUCCUAAAAUAAACAUUUCCGAUAACUAUGAAAUAAAAAGAGAUGAAUAAAUCCAUGGAAAAAGAGAGAGGGAGAGUGUGUGUAACAUAAAAUGACGCAGUGUAUGAGUUUAGAAAUGUUGGUAAAUGACGAAACACUUACUCAAAUUGGCAUCAUAGAUGGAUAUACGGAUUUACAUGAAAGCUCGUCUAUGAAGUCUUUGUGAAGGUGUUAAAAAAAAUAAGUCUUUAUGAAGAAAAGAUAUUGGUUGUUACUCAAUCACUCACUUCCAUUUAAUUUACAUUAUUACUUAUAUAAAACUAUAUACACUGAUUUAAACGCAACACUAACUUCACCAUAAAACCUGGACCAUUCAUAAUAUCAUGGUCCAUGUACAUGUAUUUAGCUAGCAAGAAAAGGCUAUGUAUUAAGCUUUGUAUAAACAGAUGUAGUUUCAAGGGUAUGAAACAUUCUAAUAACUAGCAGUUUAUAACAUUAUAUUUUAACAAAAACAAAAAUAAUAAUUUAGCUAAACAAAUCAACUACAAAAAGAAUCCUCACAAUAAAAGUACAAAGAAUUGAAAGGAAGAAAAAGGAGAGGAAGAUUUAAUGUAAAAUUCAACACCUAACUCUCUCUCUAGUAUCUUCAAAAUCUUCUGCUCUUCCCCAACUUACUCUUCCUUUGUUUCAAGAGUUUUGCCCAUUCACACUACAAAUAAUACAAAAUACAACACAAUCAACUCUCAUCUAACUUUGACCCCUUCCUCAAUUGAUUGCUCCUCUUCAUCCAUCUCUUCUAAAGCUAAAACUUUUCUACUCUCUGACUCUUUCCUACUCCUAUGCCAAUGUAGGCAUUGUUCAAAACCAGAUCAUGCAGAUCAUUCUCUUCGUUUGUGUAGCUUCCAUUGCUGCAUCUCUUGUUUCUCAUUUCAGCCACCUUCUUGUGGGAGUUUGAGUGAAGAGCUGGAGUAAACGUUGGGCUAGCAGCUGGCCGGUACUCCGGGAAAAGCCUUCCCGAUUUGUAACGUACACCGCAAGCAUUGCAAAGCGUCUUUGGGCCCAUAGGCCCGAGCCUCCAUUGUGGGGUCUUGGUGACCUCACAGUGCAUACAUUUCCUAACAGGAUUCUGCUCUGAAGAACACGAAUCUACAUUGUUGUUUCCAUUGGUUUCAAGAUCAAUCUCCGACCAAGAAGAUGAAGAAACAACCUUGGCCUUCUUCUUCUUCUUCUUGGUUAUCAUCUUGCUGUGGUCAGAGAGAAACUGCUUUGGUAUUCUAAUGAUGAGGCGCGAAUCCGCCCCAAAGACAUUGUCGUUGACUUUAUCUUUCUCCUGGACCUGUGGACGAGGACGUUUUGUGCGUGGACGACCGUGCUUUCCAGGGAGGACAAGUGAGGUUGUGUUGGUUGUAUGAGACGAUGAGGAGCUGCUUUCGAGUACCGACACUGGACUUGAGCUCCUGAAUUGGCUAUGAGAAGAUGAUGAAUCCGUGUUUGUGGAAAACGAAUCUUCCUUCUUCUCAACUAAGGAUUCCUCUACAAAACAUUUUGGUCUUUCCACCUUAACAAUAUCUUCAAACUGCAAUUUUCCCACCAAAAAAAGUAUUUGUUAGACACAUUAUGUACGCAUAUAAUUAAGCUCAAUAAAAAGAAAACUUAAAAUCAACUAGACCAAGAGAAAUGGCGCAAUUAAUUUUGUUCUGGUGAUUGGUAAAAUUAUGUGAAUUCACGUAACAAAGGCAGAGUAAAAAAUGAAGCGUAACGUGGCUCUCAAAAUGAAUGAAAAAUAAAUUAAGGUGAAUGAAUAAAUAAAUAAAUUUUGAUAAAUGAAUAUGAAUAUUUGGUCCUAAAUUUUUAGAAUGUUGAUAACAAUAAGAUGAAUGCAGUUUUAAAAACAAUAAAAAUAAAAUAAAAAUUAUAUUGAUUUGAUUUAAAAAUAUACUUUGUAUUUAUUUAAAAAUAAUUAAUUUGAAAGAACAAAGAGUAUUCUGAAUACUAAAAUUACAUUUUUUUAACUAGUGUAAAUUCUAAAGAACAAAUUUAUAUCAUUAUUAUUUUUUAAAUGUGUCAGAAAUCAAAGAAGAGGGCGUAUUUGAGCUAUACAAAUAAUAGUAUAAUACAAACAUUAAUCCAGCAUAGUUUAUUGUGUAAUUGGUAAAUUCAUAAGAAAUCACAUAAAGAAAAGGAAAAGAAGGCGUAGUGUAGUGUUAAAACUGACCGGAACAUAGAGCUCAGGUGAUGAGUCAGAGUUUGUGUUGGAAGCGAAGAGAGGAUCAGAAGCUGCAGGCCAUGUGUCCUGAUGAGUAGUCCAGAUGUUAGGAAAAGAGUCGGAGUCACCUAUGCCGAAACCGACAUCGAUAUCACCACCGGGAAAAUCAAGAAGAUCGUCCAUGUUGUCAAAGAAGUUGCCACAAUCAAGAUCCUCCGGGAAGCUUUGUCCAAACAUCUUCCUUUUACAAUAUAGGAAAUAGCUGCAAAGGAAAAAAAAAACAAGUUGAUAAUUAAGAUAAAAGUGAGACAUAUAUAUAGAGUUUUGAACCGUAAAGAAGUUUCUCAAAAGUUUUUUAAAAUUUUGAACCAUAUUUUGGAAUUGUCUAAAAAAAAUCAAAUUUUGAAAAUAAACAUGCUUUGGCCCACCUUCUUUGAUUUUUUUUUUCAGAAAUAAUGAGGACCAUUCAAUUCAAUUGCAAUAGACCAUCCAAUGGGUCUAAUAGUCAAAAGUCACCGCUAGCUAAAGAUUCUUGAUUAUCUCUAAUGUUUCUUGAAUUGUUGAGUGCCUCAGUAACCAAGACAAAGUGUUAACAGAAAAAAAAAAAAACAGAGUGCUAAGGAAACCAAAACUACAUAAUUGCACAAGGAAACCAAAACUACAUAAUUGCACCACCGACACUAACUUUACACACCAUUCCUAAAGUUUCAUUUAUUCAAGAACUCCCAAGAAAGCAAAACCAAAAUCAAGAAUGUGUGUGAAACAGAGUCAGAGGGAAUUCAAACCUCUGUUAGUAGUGCUGUGCAGAUAGUAUGAGAGAGAGAGAUUGCUUAGAAAGGAAAAAAGUAGGAGUGGGAAGAAGUGAAGAGUGAUUGAUUGGCAAAAUGGGUUAAGUAAUGGAGAGCAAUAGCUUCUCUCUUAUCAUUAUAAAGAGCUAGGUGUGAGAAACACUUCUUCUCUCUCUUCCAGUUUUGAUGCUAGCUGUAUUUUACCAUUCUCUUAUUAUUACAUUGUCUUCAUGUGCAAGUCUCUUUCAUUUAUUUCUCUCUCUAAACAAUUUCAUAAAAAGAAAAGAAUUUUAAAGAUAUCUUUAAUCGCACCUCCCUCUUCAUGUGGGUUCCAUUUCUCAUUGAGACUUUACCAAAGAUGAUUUAUUCACAAACCUUGCUUACCUGUUCAAAAGGUGUUUCUGAUUGAAAAGCAAUGGUUAAGUAAAAACUUAAAAAGAAAAAAAUGAUUUAAAUUAAAGUUAAACCUGCUAAUCAAUCUUUUUCAGAAAAUAUUAUUCAACAAAGGUGGUUAUUUAUUUGUUGUAACUCAAGAUAAAAGCAAAAAAAGAAUUGUCGUUUAAGUAAAGAGUUGACGUAAUUAGAAGAAGAUAUAUGAAAUGAAUAUGGACUUUAAUUUUUUAGAUGAAAUAAAAUAAAAAUAUAACGCGUAUAAACUCCUAGUCAUGGUUUUGCUCCUACCCGUAUAUGUACAGACAAAAGAAAAGUCAAUGAGAUAAUGGGAAGGUGAAAUAGCACGAAGGAAGUGAAGUAUACGACGUUUACGCGUACAUGUAAUUCCAUUUCAUUUAGAUAUUUAUCUAUUUAUUCAUUUCUUCCAUUGUUCAUGCCACUAACUGCGUGUUGCAAAGUAAAAGUAUGACUAUUUCUAAAUACGUAUUAUUAUUUUUGGAAAUACACAUAAGUACAUUCAUAUUGGGAAUAUCUUAACAUAAGUAUUUCUCUUUCAUCAAGUAUAUAUAUACUGAUGGCCUAAGUAUUUUUCAAACCUAGUUCGUCUUUGUUUCUUUCUUUUUAUUACUAACAGCAAAUAUUGGUGGAUGAUUAAUUAAAGUGUAACUGUAAACUUUUUAGUCGGUAAGAUUAUUGAUGUUAUUUUUCUAAUGUAAUUAUCUCUAUUAUUAAAAGAGAAGUACCAAUAUAAAUUACCCCUUAGUUUUCAAAGUUAUUUACAUUUGAAUGCCACUGAAAUAAUAAAUUUACCUACCUUUUAGUAUUCUUGUCUUUUAUAGUUUAAUUAAUGCAUUUUCCUAAAAUAAAGUAUAACAAAUUAUGUUUAUUUAUUUAAAAAAUGUUUCCUAUAAUCUAGGUAAACAAUAAAUUAUACUUAAUCAAUGUCAAAAAUAUAACAAGAUUUUAUUAUUACGGGGGUGAUUAUUUUUAUUUUGGUAUAUUAACGACGUCUAAAAAACAUAAAAGUGUUAUAAAAAUACAUAAUAUAAACCACAAAAUUUUAAAUAAGAUAUUAAAUUAUUUAAUCGUAUAAAUCAAAUAUAAAAAUAGAUAACCAUUUUAUUUUACAUUAAAAUUUUGAUCCAUAAAAAAUACAUUUGCACGAACAUACGAGUUAUAUUUUAAAAAUAUGGUUGUAACAGUUGACGGAUCAAAAAAAUAAAAUAAAAUUAUUCAUUAUAAAUUCUAAAAUGAUUCUGUUUAGAAAUAUAUUAAAUAAUUAUUUAGUAUAUAUAUAUAUAUAAAAAUUUUAAAAACAUAUAUUACCAUUUAUAUAAGAUAAAUAUUUUUUUUUGCAAACCAAAAAUGAAUACCCGCGCGGAUGCGCGGGUCAAGCUCUAGUCUAUAUUAUUAUAACUGAAGUAUCUUUUGGUACUGUUAAGAAACUUAAAUAGUAUAUUAAAUGAAAGUUGUUUGGAAACAAGAAUAACAUAUUAAUUUUUUUUUAUUUACAUAUUUAGUCAUUGAAUUUCUUUCUCAUUUACAGAUUUUAUCGUUUGGAAACUUGGAUAUUAGAUUAAAUGAGAAUUGUUUGGAAACACAAAUAACAGAUUAAAUAUUUCUUUCUAAUUACACAUUUAGCCACUGCAUUUCUUUCUUAUUUACAAAUCUGCCAGUUCACUUAAAAUUAAAAAUUUAAAUUAAUUAAUUACAAUGAAUUGUUAUUUCUUUUUACUGAAAAUAAAAACACAAACUGUAAUAUAUAAUAUAUAUUAAUGUGCUACAAUACAAUUUUCAAGAAAACCAGAUAUCAUAAAAUUAAUAAUAAUUCAUAACAGCCUACUAUAAAAAAAUUAAAUCAUUUUUAAAUAAAUAAACAAAAAAAUCAAUAGGUUAAUAUAUGAAUAUGACAAUUACAUCAAAUUGCAUCAAGUUAUAAAAUUAUAAAUAUAAUAUUACGUACAUAUAAAAUAUUAUUAUCAAACAUGUAUAUUAUAAUAUAAUAUAUUCUACUCUAAAUAUAUUUUACAAAACAUAAAAAUAUAAAUAGAUAUUUUAUAAAAUCAAUGGUUUAUAAAUUUACAUUGAACACAAGUUAAAUCCAACACCCGCGCGGGAGCGCAGAUCAAGAUCUAGUAAUAAUUAAAUGAAAUCUAUAAAUCUAUAUUCUUAUAUCAAUAUAUUCUGCUUUAGAAAACAUGGUUCCUAAAACCAUUUUUAGUUUUAAAGACUAAAUAAAACAUGAUUAGUAGUUUUAAUGAAUGUAAAUCGAAAUUAAAGCUAAACACAUUUGUUACAACUUUCAACCCAACUAAUUAGCUCCAAAGCAUUUUCAAAUUUUUAAUCAAAGUGAUAAACACUAGACUAUUGUCAUUACGGUUUUAUAUUUCUUAUAGCUGUAAAAUGUACGUAGCGCCGUUUCCUUUCCAUCUAAAAUGACUUCAUCUUGUUAACAUAUUUACAAUCCGUCAAAGAAAAUUUCAUUUACAGUUUACAACCCAAAAAUAUGUGAACUCUUCAAAUGUUUAUAUUGGGAAAUCAAUAAAAUAGACCACAUCAAUAUCAAGAUUAUUAUAUUUAUAUUUUCAUAAUUUUGAUAUAGUGAUCUCAUUAUCUCCCAAUUGUUUGUUUAAACAAAUAAUUAAACAUACUAACUGAAGUUCUAUCAAAUUUGAGUUGGGUUUUACCUUAAGCUAUUAAGCUAAAACGGCUGGCAAGAUCUAAAUGCCUUGAAACACCUUAUAAAAGAAGGGUUGAUUAUUACCAAGAUAUCUUGAAAUUAAUUAAAUGAUAAUAACAUAUCUAAUCAUGUUCAUCUUGUAGAUAUCAUUAUAAUGAUUUUUUACAAUUUUCUAAUAUCAGAGCAUUUCUAUCUCCACUCCAUGUUUUACUCCAAAAAAUGGAGUGGGGAUGGAUAUUCCUUACUGAAUAAUGAUGAGGGCAUACUACAUAAAUUAAUAGAUUAAUUUAAUUGGUUAACAAAUAAUCUGAAUAUAAUGGCUAGUUUGUAGAGAACACUGUCCUGGUCACCAAAAAUCGAAGACAAUGAAUUAAGAGCCCUAGAGCUCCACAUUGUUAGACGUAUAUAUCCUAUGAGAUUUCCUUUCGGAGUAUCUUCUAUAUCACUAUUUUACUAAGCUAGCUUCAACAAUACUCAUAGUUUCAUUUAUUCAAGCAAACUCUUUCCUAAGGAUUUUUAAAACAAAACAACAUAUAUAAUCUACCAAUUUAAUUCAAUGCUGAUUUCCUAAUUAAGGCUAUACCUUUCCACUUUCUUUCUUUUAUUUUUUUCUUCUCUUUAAGUUUUCAUUUUGCAGUAACUAACUUGGACUUCACUCCAUACACAAUCACUUUCUUCUAAAAGACUUCUCUCCACUACUCUGAAAAUGACAAAAGCUAUAUCAUGAAGGUGUUUAUAUAUACAUAUAAAGACAUGUACUAUAUGUAUACUAUAUGUAUAUUAUAUAUAUCGCAUCUUGUCAAUGGUUGUAUGUUGAGAUCACUUCAUGCAUUAUACAAAAUAUGCAUAUAUAUUAUGCUAUUGGAAAUUUUUAGCCUCAGCCCAUGGUCGGGACCAAAAUGUUCGUAUAACUUCCGGCAACAAAAGAAAAAGCUCGCUCUUAUGUAUGUCGAUCAUUAAUCUUAAAUUUGAUUAAGACAUCUCAACAAAUAUUGAUUAAAACGAGUAGAUUUGUCUACAAACACUACUUUCUCUAACCGAAUAAUUCUGGUUCUAAUAAAACAACUCAAUUGCAGGUAUGAAAAAUUACGUAAGUAGUUUAAGAAACGAAAUAUCUAUGAAUGUGGUAUGACUCCUGCAUAAUACCUGAAUAUAUAUAGGACAACAGAGAUGUUUUCAUCCAAAUUUAUUGUAAAUUUAAAAUCUCAAUAUAUAGCCAAAUUUUUUUGCUUUGUAUUGGAAAAGGCUAAACUCCUCGAAAGAUUUUUUUCUUUCUAUGAACUCAAUAAGUUACACUUAAACGUGUCCAUAUCAUCACAUAAAAUGAUAUAGUAAAUAAAUAAAAUUGUCACCUCUAUCACAAGAGAGUAAUAAUACAAAUCAGUGACAAAUGAUCUACAUAUAUUGUAUAGUAUUAAUAAGCGGGAUAAUAAAAGUUGGCGGACUAGUGGUUAGUACUUAAACAUUUCUUGUACUGUAAUUGACCCGUAUAUGAUAACGUAUAUUAUACGAUGUGAGUGCGACCAUAUGCGUAUCUAGUCGGUGGACGAUUUAUUAGCAAUUAGCAUGUGCACAUAGAACAAGUGAAGGCGCGGGUGACUUGCGAGCAAGUAAGAGCCCAUGUUUUCGUUAGGACCCACAUUUGUCUAAAAUACGUGAGAAGAUACGAUUGAGAUUGGCCCCACGUACAUGUUUACAAUUAUAAAACGGUUUAAAGCGUAAUUAUCAAAAGGGAAACAAAAAAGAUUAUAAGCGCCAAUUUGGAAUAAAGAAAUACAUAUAUCAUUCAACAAAUCACGUGGUUUUGCCUAGGGAUCAGUUCUCUCUUCCUGACAAUGAGUAUUUUUUAACUCAAACGAAUAGGUACCAAACAUGUGUCGAUCAAUCUCCACGUUAGAUCAUGUGACGANNNNNNNNNNNNNNNNNNNNNNNNNNNNNNNNNNNNNNNNNNNNNNNNNNNNNNNNNNNNNNNNNNNNNNNNNNNNNNNNNNNNNNNNNNNNNNNNNNNNNNNNNNGAGAAAGACUCACCCAAGCAUACCAAUCUCUCCUUAAAUUCCAACCAGACCCGCUCUGGAACAUAGGACUAGAAGCUAGGGUUGGAUAAAUUUUCCAUAAAUUUUGUUAUACGUUUCUAUUCGAACUGAAAUUUUUGGAUAUAUAUAAAUUUAUAAAGAAAAUUAAAUACUAAUAUGCAAUAUUCUUAAAAACGAAAUAAAUCGCAGAUACAAUGCUUUUUUAAGAAUGAAUAUUCGUUUCGAUCCUAUAUGCAUAUAUAAAUAUAUUUAGAGAAUUAUAUAAAUUGUAUAAUUAUUAUGUUUAAUAUAAUUUAUUAAUUUUUACAAUAUUUUUCUUUAUUAAAUUGAUUAUUUAGUCAUUAGAGUUCUAAAAGUAAAUAACUUUUCAAAUUUUGUAACAAAAUAUUAUUAUUAUAUUAUUUUGAAUUUUUUUAAAAUUUUUAUUUACUUAUAUGAAUCGAAUCGGAUAUUCAAUUACAAUAUAAUAUUUUUUUGGAUAUCUGGACACUAAAUAUUCAGGUAUCUAUGGAUCAAAUCAAAUCGGAUAAUUGAUUAUUUAGACGAAUGACUAGAUCAAGAAUAUUUCUAAAAAUUUGGAUAUUUGAUUCGUGAACACCUAUACUUAGAGCAUAUGUAAAGAAACCGAUCAUUUAGGGUAUUCGUAUUUUAUACAGCAGUUUUAAUUGGUAUAUAGAACAUUAUGAAUUUUUUAAAGAAAAAUAAGAACACAAAAUUUUAUUUGAUCUUAAAAAAUUAUGAAAAUUUCUAAAAUGUUGACCUGACUCCAACAAGUCCUACGAUCAACGGAUCAGUUCAAUUAUUCACUAUGCUCUAUACUCACACACAUGCACUGGCUUUUUUUUUUGGAAUACUCAAUUCUUUAUCCGAUUCUUGUAUUAUUCAUGAACCUCUUAAGUUUUGUCAUAAAGCAGUUUGUCAGCAAUGCUUCACAUGCUAUUCGAACAAAAGACACCAAAAGUAAUUAUAUUUUUAUUCUGGUCGAUACAAAUACUGUCAGUUAAAGAAAGAAAAAAAUAGUUAGUUGGGCUGGCUAGCAACAUUCUACUUGGGUUUUAUACCAGCAUAACAAGAUAAGUGUUUGUCCAAUGACUUUUAGUGUAGUAGUUUUUGAGUUUCUGAAAAUCAUACUCGAUAUAAAAGAUUGAUUCGGAUCCGUGCCAGUCGUUUGAAACUAUACUGGAGAAAACUAUUUGAUAUAUGAGUAAUAUGUAAAGUUUGACGUAAUUAAACAUAAAAGAAGACAAUAUAUACAAUUUACCGAAUUUGCAUUAGUUUAUUUGGUCUUCUCAACAAUUGAACAUGUUUGUGUGGAUGAUGGUUGCCAAAUCUCAAACUUAAUUGGCCGCCGAUGCCCAUUUGUCGAACAUUCUAGUAUUUCUGAAUGAAUAAGUUAAAAAAUAUUAUUUAUAUAUUUAUUUCUGACUGUGAUAGCUCAAACAGCUCAAAUAUCUUUAACUUUACCACGGUGUUCCUGAAUGUACUUGAUGAUCUCUAAUGUGUUGAUAUUUCUGAAAUUGCAUCAUAUAAACAUAUAUUUGACAUAUACAUGAAUUACAUGUACCCGUUUAAAGAGUAUUUAAAUAGUUUUCAACGUAAUGAUUCAUUAGUUAAUAACUUAAUGUUAGUUUACCGUUAUCACAUUGUUCCCAUUGAUGCAUCCAAACACAGUACGUGAUAUAUUUUGAAUCCCCGUAUAUAUAAUUACAUAAUAUAAUUACAUAUCCACGAUUUGUACUUGAAAUACUUUUGAUUUUCCAUCUCACACUUGGACACAGGAACUCUCUCCGUUUCAUAAUAAAAUUAUGAUUCACAGCGUAAAUUAGUACUACGAAUCAAAAGAGAACCGAUUAAAAAUUCACAACGGAAAGCAACGAAAAUUUCGGCGCCAUUUUCUUAUUUAUUCUACAUGUGAUGUCGUUUAAACUUUUUUCCGUUUUUGGCCACAUAGUUACAAAUAGUGACAGAAUUUCACAAUCUUCCAUAAAUCUAUAUUUGGUCGUUGUUGUGAUGAUUCAUGUUGUCGUGAGUUCGUAGACGAAUGAAAAUAUCAUUCAAAAAUCUGUCGGCAUGGAUACAUUUUCUAUAUAUUCGGUUAAAACAGUUAUGUAAACAUUAUUUUUCUAAGAUUGUGUAGAUAACAUAUUGGGUGAGGAUGAAUUGUAUGUUGUACUCUUGACCUAAACCAAUACAAGAAAACCUAAUUUAACAUUUUCCAAAACAAAAUACAAAAAAACUUUAAUAUUUUCAAGGUUUCUUGACAUAAGCUUCAGUUAAUAUACUUUUUGACCUACUUUUUAUUUCUCCUCCCAAAGAGAGACCAUCACAAAGAUGUUUUACAACAAUGUGAAUCCAAAGAUGAAACCCAAAUAUACAUAAUAAUAUGAUACCAAGACUAGAGAAACUAGUGUGAAGCAGUAGAAAAGUCUGUCAAAUUUAAAUUAUAUGCUGAAACCAAUUUCUGAUGUAAGAUUGUUGAAUCAAGUGAGCCGAGCGUGUAUGGCUGAUGGUAUGAGACAAGAGUUUGGAGUCAAGACCACUCAAAUUCACCCGAAGGAUGAGAUGAAUGUCCUUAAGAAGAAUGUUUACUGUCUUUGAUGUAGAUUUAUGGAGCCAACAAUUCCUCUCUUUCCAAAUGCAAUACACAGCCAUUUGAAAAAAUAAGGAGCUAUACUUUCUUUAUCAUAUUUUCCAUUUCUUUUGCUUAUACAUAUGUUUUGAUAUAGUCUUAUUAUGUGUUUGAGCAAUUAGGGGUACAUUAUUGUGGUAUAUUUUUACAAUAUGAAAGGUUAAGAGUACGUUUGAAAGUGACACUAAUAUUUUGAGAAAUUGUCAAAAUUUUGAUAACUAAUCGAUUAAUAGCCUAUGAGUCAAACCCUAUACUAUACAUACGUGAAAGAAACUUUGACAAGGAAUCUGUGAUCUAGGGAGUCCUGACAGCAAGUCUUAAUUUCAGUACUUUCUAUAAAGUGGAAACGAUGAUUGUAUUGUUAGAGAAUGUACAAAUAUAUACUGAGUACAGAGGAUAGUAUAAGGUAAGUUAAACAUACAUAGAAUCAUAGAUUGAUAUCUUCUUAAUACACCCCCUCAAGAUGGAGGGAGUUCUCGUACUCCAAUCUUGGAACAUGCGAUAUUGAAGCCAAGACGAGGUGACGGUUUGGUUAAUGCAUUGGCAAGCUGAUCUUUGGCUGAGACAUAUGUGACACGCAGAAUACCAGACUGCAGUUGACCUCUAAUGUAAUGAUAAUCCAAGGCUAGAUGUUUCAUACGCUAAUGGAAAACUGGAUUGGCAUUCAAGUAAGUGGCUCCUUUGUUGUCACAAUAAACAACUGGUGGUAAUUAAUGCAGCUUGAUUUGCAGCUCUGUGAGAAUAUUACAGAUCCAAUGAACUUCCGAAGCAGCAUUGGCAAUGGCGCAAUAUUCGGCUUCAGUUGAGGAUCGAGCAACUCCAGUUUGCUUCUUAGUGGACCAGGAGAUGGGUUGGUUUCCUAAGUAGAUCACAUACGAUAUUCGGCUUCAGUUGAGGACUAACAUUUUAAUUUGAAAUGAAUCUUGAAAGAGUUAUUGCAAGAUGAAUUUGUAUAGAUUUGUGAAUUUUAAGAGUUGAUAGAUUUAAAAGAGUUAUGUAGAUUGUGAAAAUUUAUAUAAAUUGAUUUAUGAAAUUUGAUCGCAACUUUUUUAGAUUGGUAUAGACUUUCAUAAAUUUGUAUUAUCUUUUUUCUAUCAUUCAUUUUGUAAAGUAAAUAUCUAAUUUAUUUUUUGAUAAAUCAUAUAGCAUGAUUAUUUAUUUUUUCUUUCAAAGUUAAUAAAUAAUAAUAGUGAUACAUACAAAAUUAGGCAAUUCUCUUAGAUAGUUUCUUUUAAGUUAGUCACAAAAAAAGCACUAAAAAAUGAUCAAAAAAAGGUUUCAUUAAAAUGGCAAAAGAUUUUUUUACCCAUUGCUUUAUAGAUAUAAAAAUAAUAAAAAUCAAAGUAAUGAAUUUUGUUUUUUAAUUUCGAAUUACAUGGUUUUAAAUUCGAAUUUUUUUUAUAUUUUUCGAUUUUGUUUCAAUUUUUUUUUAAAAAAACNNNNNNNNNNNNNNNNNNNNNNNNNNNNNNNNNNNNNNNNNNNNNNNNNNNNNNNNNNNNNNNNNNNNNNNNNNNNNNNNNNNNNNNNNNNNNNNNNNNNNNNNNNNNNNNNNNNNNNNNNNNNNNNNNNNNNNNNNNNNNAACAAUAUAAAAAUAAUAUACAUUAAAAAUGUAAAAGUAUAUAAAAUGUAAUGAAUUAUAGUUUUAUACAUAUAGUUUAGAUUUAAAGUGCAAUAAAUAUUUGGUAAGUAUAACUAUUUUGUUUUCUAGUUCUUUUAAUCGCAUGAAUUUUGAAAAUCAGAGGGAUAUGUAUGAUAUUUUAAAAGUUGAGUUUUUUGAGUAAAACUGAAUUAAAUUCAUCUCUCGAUAGUACUAGAUUUAGUUAGAAUUAGAAAAUCAAUAAUAACUAAACUUUUUGAAUAACAAGGAUUUUAAAUAGAUUUUAAAAAAAAUUAAACUAAUAACAAUGGAUUCUAUUAAGAUUUUUGAAAUUCAAAAACUAAUUUCAAUAGAAUCUCAAAAUUUUCAAAGUUCAUAAGAAUUCAUAUACCAGUGACCUCUUUUAUUAAUUUUUUUUACAGUUCAAAGAUCUACUAAUAACUCUUUAAAAUUUGAGACCAAUGCAAAUAUUUCAUCGCAGUUUGCCAAACAGUACAAUUCAACUUGUGAUUCUUAAUCGUGGACGAAACUAAUAUUAGAUAAUGCUUUUUUAGGGAAUUACGGACUUCGGUCCCAAAACUCCAGAUAUCAAAAAAGAAAAUUCGUUGGGGCACUAGUUAUAUAUCCACUCUAUUCUUUUUUUGAUAAAUAACUCUAAUCACCGUAAAAGUAUUAUCUUUGCCGUUUUCGACAUGUACUUAAUCUGUUCACAUCUUAUUUGUAUGCUUAGUGAUUCCAUACCAACUUUAACUAGAGUUUAAUCUCUUGAAACAACAACUUUGUUUUUUUCUCAAAUUUUUUUUUUGCCUACUAUAACAUGCAAUAUUUUGGAAGUUACUAGUAAUUAUGUUAAAUGUAGACUGUAGAGUUGUCCGCCGUUUUCCCAAGUGGAAGUGGGCUACAUUAACUAUGGUUGUUGUAAAGCGGUAGAUCGUCAUAUGUAAUAUGUUCAAAAUAAAAUUCCAUAAGAUAUGACGAAAUGAUGAUUAACAUCUCAACAAAAGAGUAUUGUUAAGAUUUUUUUCGGUAACUUGGUUGUUAUGAAAAACGUUACAAGAUAGAAAAUUAGUCAAAAGUUUCUUUACUUUUAAAGAAAAGAAACUGAAAAAGGUUUGAAGUGGAAAGAAAAAGCAAAUAAAAAUAAGUGUAAAACUACAAAAACAAAACAGAAGAAUAGUUAGGAGGUGUCGGUGCCGACAGAUGAACCGGAGAAACCUGUGACCCACUAAAACGAGGCACGCAACGCUGCUCAACCCCCACCCCACACACACACACCGUUGAUAUUCAUUUAAUUCACACUCUAUAUAUGUAGUCCCAUAAUUCCAAUUAUAAAAGGUCUUUUUCUAAAUUCUAUUUUUUAUUCAUCAAAAUUGAGAAAGUAAUGAAUUUAUCCCCCCACUUUCUACGUUAACAUAAUAUUUUAUGGUUCAAAUGAAUCCACAAUCUUAUAUAAUUACAAAAAUUCUUCCGAAAGGAAAUGUAUCACAAAAAUAUUUUACACUGGAAAAAUUGGUAAUGUGCUAAAAUUUCAAAAAUGAGAUUGUGCGUGACACAUCUAAGCUUUAGUAGGGAUCAACUUUAGACAUAUGUUGAGUGCGAACAGAACCAUAUAUCUAUUAUGUAUCUGCUCGGUAAUUGUAAGAAAAAACAGUAAGGGUUUAGAGUUUGUGAUAGAAGAAGAGAUGAUGAUUGUUGCGCAAGUAACUCUUUCUUUGAUUUUCAUACUAUAUGAUGAAAUACUCAUGAAAACACUAUAUACUACUAAUUUAUUUGUGACUGGUCCAACCAUAUUUAAAACAUAAAAUUUAAUUAGGUAAAUAAAUAAAUUUAAUUAAAAUAAUAAAAUGGUUGAGAUACUUCAUUUAGGUGUUAGACCAAUGAAGAUCUCUUAGUUUGAAUGUAACAACGAGUUAGACUUGAUAAAGAAUGGUAAAAUAAACACACACAGCUUUUACAAAGUAACAAAAAUCGAAAUAGCAUCUGAUCCUGGGGACAUCUCAUCUUUCUUUUAGAGACUUUGAAACAUCGAGAUAAUUGAGCCGACAUGUCCCUAGUAGCAAUUCUGGUAGUUCCUCUGCUGUGUUUGCCUGCAUAAUCAGUUUCAAAACAUCAAAGGGAUAUAUCAUUAUUACUUAUAUGAUCCACAAAAUAAAUAACAUAGAGCAUGAUUGGUUUUGCUUUACCUGUAUCAAAAAGGCCAUUUCUAUAACCAAGUUGUUAAGAUACCCAAGAACAAGAUUGGUUACACCUCUUGCAACAGUUGAAGAUCCAACAUCAAUAUCAAGCUGAGAAAGAAACAAAUCCAAUAAACAUUAUAAUUUUAAUAUCAUAUAGCAUAUAAGCUUGAUUUUGAUUUAUGUUUUUUACCUCCAAGUAAUUCUUUCCACGGGUGUAACGUACUUCAAGUGCGUGACCCACCAAGCAAGCCUUUUUUCCAACACUCUGCUUAACAAUCCACGAACCUUUGGAGAUGUGAGGGAUGAGUUUAAAGCGCGAAUUGCGAUAAGCGUCAUCACCAUUCACAAAACUAUGUAACAAAGGAUGCUCUUCUAAUGGAGUUUUCAGCAUAUAGUACAAUGCUAGACUGAUCAUAGCAGAACCAGGGACCUGGUUUAUAUAUAUGUUUAAUAGUAAUUAGUGCCUCUUAACUAUGAAUAAUAUUAACAUUCCUUAGAAUAACAGCAGCUUAUCUCAAAGUUACCUGCAUGUUUACAAUGAAGAAAAACUCUGGACCGCCUUUUGCUGCGAAUUCUUGAACUAGACCGCCUAGUCGACCACCAAGAUCAUCUUCUCGCUUAUCAGAACUUAUCCAGUCUGCUCCAACCAUUUGCAUCAUUGUGCCAUUUGCCUUUACCUAUAGUUUGAGCAGUACCAGCAUCAUUAUCAUUGCAUCUAAUUAAGCUUCAAGAACAUAAACACAAGUGUGUAUCUAUAAAAUUGGUUACCUUUUGUUGGUCAUUUAAAUAAUUGUCUCCACGAAUCAAGAAUGUGGAUGGAUCAGCAAUAGACCAACUACAAGGCAUAGUAAGAUUUGGGUCUUGUUGGAGGGUGGCUCCAUAUAUGAAUGUGCUAUUUACAUCCAUACCGACCUCUUGUAAAUCCAUAUAGCCUUUCUUAUUAUUGGCUAGAUCUUGAAGUUUCUUGACAAUACCAGAUGGUGAUGGUAGCUUGAGCUGAAACACACACACACACAACUUUAAACUUUACUUUUUCCACAAGCAAACAAGAAGUGAGAGAGCAGAAAUUAACUUGAGAGUGUCCUUGUGAAAAGGGAGAGUUAUCAAUUAAGCUAUCAAACUCAUAAGACUCAUUGGGCUCAGGAACAUCGAAAAAUUCAUCAGAAGCAUCAUUUAAGUCCAUCAAACUGUUGCGUGCUGAAGAAGGUUUCUCCAUUUCCUCAACUUUCACAAGCUCCAGAUCAAUCCUUUUGGCUUCUUUUUUAAAGGGUAAAGUGUUGAUCUUAGACAAGGAGGAUUUGGUUUGCAUGAACUCCCCUGAGACGAACUCAGCGAAGCCGUGUCCUUGUUUCGCUUUGAACAUUUCACGUAAGGCCGCAAGUCUCUCAACCACACGAAUGGUUAUAGAUCUUUCAGAAGACGGCCUCAUGUAUAAGUUCCAGCUUCUCCAAUCAAUGGCUACCAUAUGCUUUACUAGUGAUUGCUUCCCUUUGCUUACAGGAGUCACCACAUAACCACCACCUACAUUCCAAAUGCAAAACUCAUAAAAACAAAGGAUCAUGAAGUUAAAUUCUAUUUUCCAUUCGAAAAUUCUAAUACGUCCCUUCGAGAUGAUGUGUUUUUGAUGUUCUUUCCCCAACUCGGAUCAACUUGCAUGCUUACUUACAUAUUUUGAUAACAAUAUCAAAUCAUUUCUAAUAAUGGAAUUAAAACAAAGAAAAUGAACUAGAGUGUGAGGCAAGAAACUUUACUUUUGACACAAGCACGAACAUAUCCUUUAGUUGGCGGACACUUCUUGUGAUAAACAGAGUGGCAAAGUAUCACUGUGAUAUUCAAGGAUGAGAAAGUUAUAAACCUUGAGAGAGGAAACAGAUCAGGAAAUAUUAUCAUUUAUCUAACCGUAGGUUCCAUCUUCUUCCCUUCUCCAGUAGCGUCGUAGCAACACGUCUCUUCGAUUCAUUAACCAUGGCAACCAAUCACUGUACAACUGGAUAUUAACUAUAUCUGUGUGUCCAUCAAGAUGCUCCACCACGGUUCCUUUGUAGAAACAAAAGUCCCAUCUACAAGAAAGUCAUGCAAACUCUAAGUCAAAAACCAUAUUAUAACCUCUAACACUAUAGAAAGUCGAGUUCCAUCUACUAGAGUUGUUUAGCCUCUCAGAUCAAAGUUAUCGAGCUUACUCUGAUCGUAAAGGACCGAGAGACAUUAGCGUAUUGAAAAUGUCUUCUGAAGUACCAUCAAUGACACCUACUGCCAUUAUUGCAGGAUGAUCAUCCCAAUGCUGCAAGAGGUUUGAGGUUUCAGCAAAAGAAACUAAAGUUAAGAAACCAAUCAUGAUUCACAAAUAUAAGGCCGGAUUUAAGAUUUAGAGGAUCUUAAACAUUUUUAGGUUAAUCUUAAUAAAAAUAUUUUUGGUAAUUUGGGAACCACACAAUCUAGGUGUGAUAGUUCUUUAAAAUUUGGAGCCAAAAUCAAAUAUUUUAUCCGGCUGUGCCCAAAAUCGACCCUGUAUAAAUGUAGUAUAUGUACAAUUUUGUAUUACCCGUCCGCGGGAAUCCCAGUCUUUAGCUUCUUUGAAAAGGCGCAAACCUGAAAGUUCAUAAGCUCAGUAAGGCCAGCAGUUUCUUGAACCACGAGUAUUUACAAAGAAGUUUAUCUUCUCUUACCGUUUUGGCAUCCAAAAAUUUUCCAUGGAGAAGGAGCAAUGACAUCAGGUGCUAUUGUUUCAACGUUCACCGAUGAGUAAUUUGUCCAGUCAACUGAGUUUUUGCGCCGUGACCUCCUUGAUACAUUAAACUUCACAAGUCCUUUCUCAGCAUGAGAUACAAACUCGCAGUCCGGAAAUGGAAACUUCUGAAAACAUAAAUCAAGUGUAUGUGAGUCUCAAAUCUUAUAAUGUAUAGAAAAUAUUGUAACAAACCUUUUGUGAAGCAUCUUGUAAUGAUCUGAUCCAUUUGGCUGCUUCUUCAGGACUACUUGCACCCAGCUGUUCAAAAGUGUCAUUCAAAAACCUAACUGAUAUUAAAAAUAAAAUAAAAAGAAACCUGAUAUGUGAAGAAAAACACUUUCCAAACAAACCUUUAAUUGAUCCAAAUGGUUUGAGGUGUUGUAAAGCGUAAAUAUGAAAAGGAUCUGAAACAACACAUGAACCAAAAAUAAUCAAUAAACAUCUGUAGAUUGAGUAAUAUAUAAGCUCAUUAGUAUCCAACAAAUGUUAGUACCUUUCUAUGGAAACUCUCUCUUCCAUUGUCUGUAACCCGAAUACAACAGUCUAGAGAUGCUCUUCUAUCAGGUUCCUAUACAGAAAACAAAAAAAAUAUAAAAACACAAUGUUCGCAACUUCUUCAUGUGAAUAUCUUGCAUCUACGCAUCAAUCUCUUAAAUACCAAAGAACAUAAUUAACACGUAACGAAAAUGUCAUGUUAUGAGAAAAUGAAAAAGACAAACCUCAUUCUGAUCAGAUGGUACAGAUUUAAAGCUUGUAAGGUUGUUGUCGUGAAGAACAAAAUAUCGUUUACGGGAGAAUUGAAGUCCAAACCGGUUAUGUCGGAUGGUAUAAAGCCAACCUUCCAUUCUUCCAUCAAUUUGAGACAUUUCCAUUUCUCUACAAAAAAACCUUUUUUAAGUUUUGCAUUUCGUAAAACAAUUCAAAUUCAAUAUUACAAAAUUUAUCAGGAAUUUUUUUAUUUACCACUUGAAAUGCUUGCUUCUUCCCCCUAAACAAAUAUUCACAAAACGUUUUAACUUGAAACGAUUCUCUGAUUCCGCCUAAGCGAAACAGAGAAUCGAAAGUAUGAAAGAUCAGUUGCACAAAGAAGUUUUGUUUAUUUAUUUUGUUUUUCUCUCAACCAAGAGAGAAAAACAAACAUAAAAGUUUAUUUUUCCUUUCUUUUAUUGCUGUAAGUUUCUGUUUUAGUUAUAAGAUUUUUAACUUUCGCUGGUUAAAAAUUGCUUGCUAUUUUUGUGAGAGGCUAAAUGAUUGGCGCUUCUGUGUUUGGGUUUAAAUUCUAUAAUUAGUUUUAAAAUGUAUAACUCUGCUAUUCAUUAUGUCCCUUCUACACUUUUAUUGUUUACAAAUAGACUCCAAAUGUAUUUAUAUUGUACGGUGAAUGACUGACCAUGAGUAGAACCAAGAAUUGAUCCAACACAUUCCACAACUUAAACUGAGACAAAGAAACAAGAAUUCGUUGUUACACACUUAAACACACAAAUUCAGUUUGUUACCAAAAAUAUAAUUAACGGGCCUUACGCGUCAACUGGGUCUAACCCAUCAAUUUGUUACAUACGGCCUAAUAUUUAUUUUACUGUGUUGGCAACAACAACAAAAGAAAAUUCUCAAAUAUUUAAGGUAGUAAAAACCACUAUGGGUUACUUCAAUUUAGAAAGACAAGUUAUAACUUCAAUUUAGAAAGAAAAAUCUAUUUUGUCUUUCGAAAUUAAUAAUUUUACUCUAUUAUUUCAAAAAAACUGGGAUAAAAAUAUAAAUAAAUAAAAUCUAUAUAUAUAAAAAAAUGUUUGUCUCCCUCCUGUUGUGCCACGUCACUAAGUCGCUUAAUAUAGUGUUGACACGUGUCCAUCUAACUAAAUGUUGCGUUUUAAUUAUGGUUCUUUGUUAUUUUUUUUGGGCUUUCGUUUUGUUUGUUACUUUUUUGGACUUUGUUUUGUGGGCUUAAUAAUUUACAUGAGUAGCUGCGUUUUUUUUUGCUAAAAUUCAAGAUUAAAGUUUGUAAUCUUCAUUUUUGUGUAACGUGUCAAGUGAUUUGUAAUAGAUAGACCCAAAGUUGCAAAACCAAUUAAGAUUCACUAAACCACUGAACAAUACGUCUAUCGGUUCUGGUCAGCCGCCAAAACCCAAUUUACAAAAUAUUACAGAACACGAUUUACAAAAAUAUUAAUCUGUUUAUGAGAAACCUGUUAUUGGCCAGACUAAAUAUUCAGAAGACCAUAAUUUGAACAAAUAAAAUUAACCGUAUUAAUAAAAAGGAAUUAAGGGCGAGGGAGAUCGACAUUAAUCUAAACAAUCAAACAUAAAACAGAAAGAUAUUCUGUAUAAAAAUUGAAAUACGGGUAUCAGAUAAUCAUAAAGAUAGUAUCAAUAAGAUUCAAACGCAAAUUAUCCCAGAAAUAUAGUUUCAAAUCAUAUGCCCAGCCAAAAGAAAGAACUUAAAAAGCACAAAAGUUGAAAACUUGAUUCUGAGUAUCUGUUCUCGAAGGUGAAUAAAUAUCAAACAAUUAAUCAGUCGUAAAAUACCAUUUGUUUUAUGAGAUUCAUCAUGUACUCAGAUCAUAUAAACCCACAAAUCUUUUUAAAAUAAAAACUGGAAAAUGACUUUUUACGAGAUUCAUUAUGUAGUCAGUCCAUAAACCCACAGAUCUUUUUAAAAUAAAGACUGGAAAAAGACUUAAUUUUCAUUAUAAGUCCAUCAGCAUCUCAAGAGUUAUCACAAUAACAUCUCAAUAUGUCUCACGGGAUUGAGAGACUUGUGGACAUUCUAUGUUCACCUCGACUACAUAAAAGAGAGCUUAGAUAUAAAGCCAGAAGGAAAAAAAAUGGAAAAGCUCAGAACUUCUUAGAGGUUGACCGUCAGCGAUAAAGAACAAAGCUCAUCUCUGUCACGCAAUUUUUUUUAAAAAAAAUCUUAUACCAGUAUCGAAGAAGAUGAUAAGAACUAUAAACAAUGAGACAUCACACUUUAUGAUUGACACGUUAUAUAUUAGUCGAGACAGGAUUAAGAGAAACCCUGAUUUUAUUGGGCUUUGUCAUUUACUAUGUAUUAAUGGGCUUCUCUAAAAACUGAGACGCUGUAGCUAAUGGAUCUUUGAGUUUAGAAAAACGGAGGAGUCAGAUCUUUUGAGUUGAGGUAAUGUUUCUCAAAUUUACAGAUUGAAGGCUCGGUUGAUAUGAUUUAGAGAAAUCGUUGGGUUGUGGUUUUCUUAAAAAAUAUUUUUUCUUUGAUUUUAGGGAACUUAGGUGAUAAAACCAAAUAAAAACCCAUUAUUCAUUAUAUAACCAAAAUCACACCUUUUUUCUCUUCUCUCUUCCUAUCUCUCUCCAAUCUCUUUCUACAAAACUAAAUUUACUUUUUUUUUUGUGGUUAUAUCACAAAUAAGCCCUUGAUUUUAUUUGGUUUGUAAUGUGUUCUCAUGAACUGGUUUGAAGACGAACAUUAUAUUUGUCUUUCUAUAGUAACUCUAUAAUAGAGAUGAAAUAUGCUCCAAUGUAUUCCUCUAAAAUAGUAAUCUCUAAAUAUAGAGUAAAAAUAGAGAAAUGUUAUUUCUUCCUCUAUAAAUAGAGAUCUCUAUUACAGAGGAAGAAAUAGAGGUGGGUUGGAGCAAUUUCACCUCUAAAUCUAUACUAUUAAAGCAAAAUCAUUCUUAUGAUUAUGCCCCUGACUUUUUUAAGAAAUUACAAAACAUACCAUUGUUUUUUUUUUAAAUACCUUUAAUGAUUUACAUAAAUUUAAAGCUCAUUCGAUAGGCCCAAAUUGAACCAUUGUUAACCCAUUAGGCCCAUUCUGUUUAAAAUAUAUUUAGUGAAAAUCAUUAAAAAUAUUGUUUUAUUUUUUAUACAGGGAUUAUACAUUUAAGAGAUAAACAAAUAUAUUAAUCCAUUAUGCCAAUUUGUGUAAAAUAUCUAUACUUAAAAUUAUAAAAAGCCUGUUUUAUUUUUAAAGUUGAGAUUAUACAUUUAAGAACUAAACAAAUUAAUAUAUGUGAUAUAUUUAAGAAUUAAACAAACAACGGAUUUGAAGUCCAAUAUGUGUAAACACAAUUUUACUAAUAACAAAUAAAUUACAAUUUAUAAAUAUAAAACCAUAUUAGAUAAUAAACUAUUCAAACACAUACUUCCACUAAUUAGAAUUACAAUUUAUAAAAAUAAAACCAUAUUAGAAAAUAGACUAUUGAAACACAUCCUCAUCUAAUUAGAAAUAAUAUUAAAAUUGAAAAAUGACAUUUUAAUAGGUAAAAUACCCGCCAUUUGAAAUGGCGGGUCAGUAUUUAGUGCUAUUAUAAAGGUAGAAAUAGCAAUGUGUUGGAGAUGCUCUAAAGACGGAUUCCCGAGAAAUGAGAACUCAAUGAUUCUAAAAACAUAACUAAGCUUCAAAUGAGUUGUAAAUUUAAAAAUUUGUUUAUAUGAAAAAGUAAUAAUAAGAUAAAAGUAUUUAAAGCAUUAAAAUGUUUAAUUAAAUUAAAUUUCACAUUGCUUACCUUCUGUUAAUUCGAAUAGGGAAAAUAUAACAAAUAGUGAGUUUUAAUCAGUUCAAAUUUUUUGAGCAACACAUUGAAUAAAAAAAUAAAAAAAUCUGAAUUGGCAUAUUAAUUAUAUUUUAGUAGUCAAUUCUAAUGUAAUAUAUAACUAUUAAAAUCUAAAUUAUAAUUGUAUUUGAUUUCUCAUACUCUUAUAUCUAAUUGUUAAAUAAACGGGUAGAGAAACUCUCAUUUGAUCAAAAACAGAAUAUAAAAGGCCUAUACUCCUUCUUUGGCUACAGAGGAAAAAUAAGAGACUAAAACUCAACUUUUUACUCCAUAAGAUCUAAUCAUAUCCUUACCAUAUGUGGUUUAACAAGGUUUCUCUAUUGUGUUCUCUUUUGAUCGAUUUUGUUUGAUUUAACUUAUAAUGCUCGAAGUUUAAAUUUAGAAAAAUGUUAUGAGUAUUAUAACACUAUAAAAUUUUGUAACUUUGAAUCAACGACAAUACUAAAUAUGCUCACAUGUCAUUUUUAGUUAUAUAAUUGAAAUUUGAUGUAGAUAACACUGAUUGCUUAACAUAAUCAUACUCACAACCAAAUGAACAUAAAAAAAAAUUAACAGAAAAAUUAUAUCAUCGAUAAAAACUAAUACAUCACAUCCCGCCCGUAGGGCGGGCCGAUCCUAGUAAGUUAUAUUUAUUGGUUUAACUCUCAUUUACUUUAGGGCAAAUCUCCAAAAUAGCACAUUUCUAAGUUUAUAUCACAAAAAUAGCACUGAAAAACUAAAAUGACCAAAAUAGCAUUUUAUCUUUUGAAAAAUUUAAAUUUUUUUAUUUUUCAAAAUUUGAAAUCUUAUCCCCAAAACCUCACUUCUCAACUCUAAACCCUAAAACCUAAACUCUAAACCCUAAACCCUAAAUUCUAAACCCUAAACCCCAUCCCUUAAGUGCUAUUUUUGUGACUUUUGACUUUGAGUGCUAAUUUGGGAACAAAAACUUGAUUUAGUG
rnacentral:lncRNA from 1 species